rnacentral:lncRNA from 1 species
AUUCUAAAAGUGUGUUGGUACCCGAAGCCAUCUCAGUACAACCUUUCAUCCUCAGACAGAUGGUCAAGUAGAAAGGAUUAUUUAGAUAUUUGAAGAUAUAUUGCGAGCGUAUGCAAUUGAUUUCAAGGGAAGUUGGGAUGACCACUUGCCUUUGAUUGAGUUUUCAUACAACAAUAACUAUCAUUCUAGUAUUUAGAUGGCUCUAUUUGAAGCUCUAUAUGGUAGUAAAUGUAGAUCCCCAAUCGGUUGGUUCAAAGUUAGUGAGGACUCAAUCAUAGAGCCUGAAUUAGUAUUCGAUACCUUAGAAAAGGUUUAGUUGAUCAAAGAGAGACUUUGGGCUGCUCAGAGCCGAUAAAUAUCUUAUGCAGAUGUAUGCAAAAAGGACCUUAAGUUCGAGGUUGAUAACUAUGUAUAUCUAAAGAUCUCUUCUAUGAAGGGAGUGAAGAGAUUUGGCAAGAAGGGAAAGCUCAGUUCCCGAUAUGUCAAUCACUUUAAUAUUCUCAGUCGCUUCGAUAAAGUAGCUUAUGAUCUCGAGUUGCCUUCAGAUCUAGCCUCAGUUGAUCCAGUAUUCCAUUUCUCUUUUCUCAAGAAAGGCAUAGGUGACCCAGCAGUUGUAGUCCCUAUUCAAAGCAUAGAUGUUUAGAAUAGCCUCUCCUAUAAGGAAAUUCCAAUCGGAAUCCUAGACAAUCAGAUUCGUAGACCAAGGAACAAAGAAGUCUCUCCAAUCAAAUUUCUAUAGCAAAAUCAGUCUGUUGAGGGAGCUACUUAGGGAGCAGAAGCAGACAUGUGAACCAAGUAUCCUCACCUCUUCUCCACUAACUUAGACUCAGCUUAAGGUAAUAGUUCUCCUUAAGCUUAUUCAUUUUUAUGUUCAGAAUUUCAGUUACAAAUUCGGUAUUUAGUUCAUGCUCAAAUCCCCAUUAUAAACCUGGUACCAUGUACCAUUGCAUAUUUGUUCAUGCAUUCAUGUAUCAGUUAAAUCAUAUAAUCAUUCAUCAGAUAUGCAUUCUCAUUAUGAUAAACUUAGUUCAUCAGAACACUCAGUCAUACAUUCAUGAAUCAGUUACUCAUGCAACAGAUAUGCAUUUUCAUCAUGAUAUAUUUAGUUUAUAAGUCGUGUUAGUCAUUAAAUCAUGUUUCAGUAGUGUACGUUUGGUACAUACUUUAGUUGUUUGUCGCUUCUCUUUCAUUCAGUCUUAUUCGAGGAUGAAUGUUCCCAAGGGGGAGAUACUGUAAUACCCCAUAUUUCAACCUAGCUUAAAUAUAUCCCAAAAAUAUCCAAGACUUGAAUUAAAGAUGGAUACACUAUUAUUCAUGUGUAGUUUUCAAGAUUUUGACUUUUAGUUGUGUGGAAAAUCAAAUAAGCUUUCUAUCAAUACCAAAUUUACCUAAAUUCGAUAACCGGGUAAGAAGUUAUGGCUAUUUUAAGUCCUAGUCAUGAAAUAAAGUCAUUCCAGUUAGUGGUGCGCCGCACCACACGUGAAAAUGGCAAUAGUCAAUUUCCAGCGUACCAACACGAUCCCACCGUGUUGCGUUGCACUUCCAGUUCACAACCAAGGUGGCAACAUAAUUUCCACCGCAUCGUGCUACCAACCAGUUUCCCAAUUGUCCAAUUUCCAGUGGCUUGGCGCGAUAUUGGUGCGUCACGCCAAGGCCAAAAAUCAGGCUUUUCAGUUUUCAACUUUCAUUUUUAAAUUCGUUCAAGGGUAUUUUGGUAUUUUUUUUCCCAUGGCCCUAGGUAACCUAAAACACAAAAAUUUAACCCCUAAAUACCUUAAUUAGUCAUCAUUAUUUCAAUUCCUCUUACAACAAAAAAAAAUCCCCUUUUCAAGAAAUAAGAAACCCGAAUCUCUCCAAUAGUCUUCAAGAACUUAAAGAAUCUAGAUUUUCAGCUAUGUUAAGUUUUGAUUCAUGGGUCCCUUUCACCCAUGAAUCUCAAAAAUCCAUUUUCAAUUCAAAGAGUAUGAAUCUAUGAAUGUUUAUGAUUUAUUUGAAUUGAAAUUUUGAUCCAUGUUAUAGACUAUUAAUUUCAAAAAUUGAUUCUAGUAUGUGAUGAUUUACGUGGUAUAUUUGAUGAACCCUUCAAUUUGUAAGUUGAAUUAUAUAGCCAUGAUAAUUUGAUGUAUUGAUUAUUGCAUAACCAAGGCAUGCUCCCCAUGUGUUUGAUAAAAUACCUAUAUAAAGAAAAUAGUGCCUUCAUAGCAUGUUAUAUGAAAUCUCCAUUCAUGUAUAAGUUAAUGCAUGUAAGGUAUUUGAUGAGAUUUCUUAGUCAAUGAAUUAUAGAUAUAUAACCAUUGGUGUACUUUAAAGCUAGCGCCAUAAUUUACUUUUAUGCUAUCAAGUCCUGGGGGUAUUAAAUACCCAAAAAUUUAGAUAUAUGCCUAGAGCCAGUAUCAUGUUUUCAAGGUACACUUAGUCAAGCCAUGUUUAGUAGAAUUCAGUUAGUCUCAGGACUCAAGAAAACUCUCAGUAAUCUUAGUAAUCUCAGCAGUAAUCCAUUAGCCAAUGGAACUUAGUAAACUCAGUCCCAUUCAAUUCAGCUAAUCAUGUCAGUGUCUAUUCAGAUGGGAGUAGGAUUCAGCACCGAGUAAAUCCAUGAAUAGAAAGUCACCUACCAGUAGAGGGUGUGAUCCUUAGGAGUAAUCCUUGUAUUCUAGAACUAUGUAGCCAGUAUAGAUUGAGAAUUAACACCGACAGAUGUGGGUUGAUGAGGUGGAUUAAAACUGUCAGAGGAGGGUCCCACCAUUCUUUUUUGGGGGCACUUUCAGAUGAGGGUCACCCAUAAUUUGUCCUUACCAAUGGCGUGGUAUUGAAUCCCUUCCAAUUAGGGUUACAAAUUUGACCCCAACUCAGCUAAAAUAGCUUAUCAGGGGCAUGUCGAUUAGAUGAAUACUUCCCAUAGUCUCAGUCUCAUCCUCAGUAAUAGAACUCAGAUAGUUCUAUAGAAUUUAGGACUGUCAAAUAUAGUCACUCAAUACAAUAUGAAACUCGGCUAGCUCCCUCAGACUCUAGACUGUCAUAUAUAGUCACUCUGUAUCAGUUAUAUCAGUUACCAGUAACUCAUGUUAUCAGUAUUUAGACUCGGUAGUUUGUAUUAUCUUGAACUCAGUUACAGUUACUUAUUUAUGCAUGUGUUCUCAGGUUUAUGUUAUACAGUCAGUUAGUAUUGUUCAUGUAUAUGAAUCCCAUAUAUUCAGCCUACCUUACUUGCAUACCAGUACAUUCAGACGUACUGAUACAUUCACGGUAUAGUGUUCUUAUACCAUAGGUUUAGAAGCAUGAGUCCCACCUCUAGAGCAGCAGUAGCAUUCCAAUUUCAGUACUCAGAGUCAGUGGUAAGUCCUCAUCAUUUAAGGACAUAAUUAUUAUUUCAUUGCUUUAUUAUUUCAGUAGAUGGAGUUAGUUGGGGACAUGUCCCAUCAAUUUCUUAUUUAGACAGUUCACUUUUAGAGGCUUUCAGACUAUAGCAUGGUUAGAUAGUAGUUCAGUUUGUUUUGGUUCAGACAUUGUUAUUAGACAUUAUGAUUCAAUUUUGAACCUUAAGGUCUUUCAGCCUUUAUUUCUGUAUUUAUAUAGUAUAUUAUGCAGUGUUCAGGUACAUAUAUCAGUCAUGGGUUAUCUUAUGAUCCUCCGGAGUCAUAGGAACCGUGUAGCAUUUUGAAUACCAGAUUUGGGGUGUUACAAUAGUGAGAUAGUGAGCUUCAAACAGAAGCCUAAUAAAAACUUUUAUCAUGCUUAGGAAUGCUUCAAGGCUCUUCUUCGAGAAUGUACACACCACCAACAUUCAAAUAAGGUACUUUCUCAUUAUUUGUAGAAGCUCUUGAUCAUAAUACAAAUAUUUUUCUAGAUUCAGCUGCAGGUGGUCAAGUAUGGAAUUGACUUAUGAUGAGCUGUACAUAUGAACCGUAUAGCAUAAGGAAAUACAGAAUGACAUGCAGAUUCUAUAAGUGGCAAGAAAAAAAUUAUGGGUGUAUUGGAGGUAGACUAAUUCACAGUCUUAUUAGCAUAGGUUUUGGCAUUACAAAAUUUGAAACACCUCAUUCAACACCAUGAAGUUGGGAACAACACAACCUACAGCCACAGUCAAUGUUGUCCAACAAGCUACAAGUUGGUGUGAGUUAUGCAAAAACAGUGGCCAUACAACUGCUAUGUGUACAACAAAUCCAUAAUCGGUGAUGUUAGUAAGGCAUUCUUAAAGAUAGAACUAUAGAAAUGCUUAAAACUAGCAGACUCAGCCAUAAAAUCAACCAUGAAAUUCUCCACAGCCAUAGGCCCAAUCAAAUUAGUAAAUGAGCAACAUGGAAGAGAUAUUGAAACAACUCUUAGCUGGCCAAUCAUAAGUGGUUGUGGAUAUGAAAAGUCAAAAGGCAGAUUCACAGAAUCAAAAAAUAGCUACAAGAAGUUUAGAGUUGCAAGUAGGCCAAUUAUCAUAGGUACUGAAUACACGACAACAAGGUGGUUUUCCAGCAGAUAUAGAAAAUCCAAAGCAGGUUAUGACAAUCACCUUGAUAAAUUAUAAGAAGCUUCAUGGAGAACCUCCUAAGGCAACAAAUGACGUAGAUGCUAAUGUGGUAACCCAAAAUGUAGAUGACAAAAUUGCUGAAAAUUCAGGAAAGUUUGAGUACUUAAAUGGAAAAUUUGUUGAACAAAAAGUGAAGAGGACCCCACCUUUGCCCUUCUCUCAAAAGAACAUAAAAGCAAAGAAGGAUGCCAUGUUUAAGAAGUUCUUUGAUAAAUUUAGAGAGCUUCACAUUGACUUACUUUUGCUAGAUAUUUUACAAAGUAUGCCUAAGUACGCAAACUACUUGAGGGAUGUGGUGGCUAAGAAGGUAAAAUUUAAAGAUGUGGGAGCUAUAUCACCCAUGAAAGAGUGUAGUGUUAUGAUGUCACAGAAAAUCCCUAAGAAAUUAAAACAUAAGGGGAAGUUUUCUAUUCCCAUACAAAUUGUGGGAAAAGAGGUUCAUGCACUAAGUGACUUAGGGGAAAGCGUAAAUUUGAUGACUCUAUAAUUGUUCAAAAAAUUUGGCUUGGCAGAGCCUAGAGCAACAUAAGUGGUUAUGCAUCUUGCAGAUGGAUCCAUAACAUAUUCACAUGGAAUUAUUGAGGAUGUCCUCAUAAAGGUUGGAAAAUUUAUUAUUCCUACUGAUUUUCUUGUUCUUGAUUUUAUGGCAGAUGAACAGGUUACAAUUAUCUUGGGGCGUCCAUUCUUAGAGACCGAAGGGGCUUUGAUUGAUGUUAGAGAAGCACACUCAAGAUGAGGGUAGAUUAUAAAUAGAUGGUAUUUAUAUUUAUAAGGAUCCAUUGAAAAUCCCUUUUAUAAAGAUUUAUGCAUGAUCAAUGUGUUUGAAAAGAAUGAGUGUGGGGGUGUCUAAGCCUCUAAAGACCUCUUCAGACUACCUAAUUGAGUGGCCUAAGAUAAAACCACCAAUUCCCAACAUGUUAAAAGGUCAAAAGAGGUUUGAAAUGAAUAAAAAAUGGCUCCCCACAGGGGGUAAAGGGUGAAGGUACAUGGUUGAGUUAAAUUGGGUCGCGCCGCAACACUUAAUUCGGUGUUGCUUGGGAGGCAACCCAAGUUAAAGCAAGGUAUGUUUUGUUUUUAGUUUCUAGUUUUUUAUUUCAUGUAGUUGUUGUUUUUGGUUGAGUCCUAGUUUAAUGGAAAGUUUGAGUACCAUAAACUUGAGCUAAAGAGCAUGGCGAAGACUGAGUAUGGGGUCCUAUGGAUCUCACUCAUGUGAAGAUGCUACUAGCUAGGCCUAGAGGCCUCAGGGAGUAUUUCUAUCUCUUAUUUUAAAAAUUCACUUUGGGGAUAAAGUAGAUUUUUACGUGUGGGCUGGGGAAAUUCCCAAUUUGAAUUUUUGACACAAAUUAAAAAAUUUAAUGUGAGGGAUAAGUGAGAUAUUUUGGUUGGUGUUAUUCUUGAUUACAUGGUACAAGUGGGUUUGUUUGUAAAAGUAUAUUGAUUGGUGUGAAUUGCUAUUUUUGAGACUCUUAGGCUCAAGUUUUUGACUCUAGUACUUGUUGGCUUAAUUAUGAAUUUGUGAUAUUAUUUGGUUGGGAGUCUAUGAUGAUCCUAUUUAUUUGAGCAUAUGCCAUGUGCAUGUGAGAAUUUUUGUGUAUUCCUUGUUGCAUGUGAUGUCUAGAACUUACCCGGUGUGUGUGUGAAGUGAAAUAAAAAGUAUGGGUUUAGGAGUUGAUAUAGGCAUUUCUUUGAUAGCCUUAUUUUAUACCUUCUUUUACCUACCUUUAUGCAUUAUCUUAUUUAUCCCCUAUUGAGCCUUUAGCUUUUUUUUGGCAACCUCAUAAGUAGACUAAUCCCUUCUUUGAUCCAAAAAACUCCUAAGUGCUUUAAUAAAAAAUUGAAUUGGUAAGGAGUUUGAGAACUUGAAGAAGAAAAAGGUGAAAUUGAUGCCCUAAGGUAAUAGCUAUUGGUGUAUAAUUGAUGUGUGGUGGAUGAUUAUGAUAUAAUUUAUGCCAAGAUUGUGAAAAAAAGAUAAAAAAAAAAUUGAUUCUUGUUGUAGUAAACUAUGUGCCCCCCACUAUGUGUUUGCAAAGAUGCUUAAAAGAGAUGGGGUAAAAAAAAAAGGUAUAGGUGAAUGAAAACGUGUAAUUUGGUUAUUGGAUAGUAGUUUUGAACAUUUAAUGUGAUGUAUUAAAAUGCUUAGAAAGGUUAGUCACUAUUCCCAAAUAUUUCCUACCCGUCCUUUAGCCUACAUUAUAACCCGGAAAAGACCUACUUGAUCCUAAGCUUUACAUUCGACUAUUAGUGGAGCAUUACACUAAGGGAAAGCCUAUGGUUCAUUGUGUGUAACAUGUGAAUUCUUUGUGAGAAAGAGUNNNNNNNNNNNNNNNNNNNNNNNNNNNNCAUUAUUGUGAGUGAUUAUGGGUAACUCUCUUGUUGUGAGGGGAAUAUAUUUGAUGAAUGUGGCUGAUUUUUAUGAUGUCUUUGAUUAAGCAAUAAGCAUGAGUUUUCCACUAGGUGAGUCAUAUCUUGAGGCUAGGAUGUUUUGGAGUAGUGUUCAUAAGCUUUCAAUUGUGUAAAUAACAUGCUUAGUGUAGUAACAUGAAUUCCAUGUAGUCAUUUUAGUACUAGCUUGAGUGUCUUGCAUUUAUUUGAAGAUUAGAUUCUCCAUACUUGAUGAUGAUUGUACUCAAGAGUUGUUUGAGAACGAACAAGGUUUUAAGUUUGGGGUGGUGAUGUUGGCUGAAUUUAUGCAUUCUAGCGUUCCUAUUCUAGCCUUUUUAGCUAUGUUUGAAGGACGAUUCUAAUAUAUAAUGUUUAAUAAUGAGAUAAAUAUGUUAAAAUGUGUGUUUAUAUGGUUCAAGGUGAAUUCCAAGCAAGCUUGUACCAAAAAGAGUCAACUAGAGUUCAAUAGAGAAAAUUAAUCUUUCUAGCGUAAGCUAGUUGCUUGUCUAGCCUAUCUUGUUGGAUUCUACUUUGUUCUAUGUGUUACUUAUGGUUUUAAAUGUGUUAUUGUAUUUGUAACAAGUUUUAAUGAGUGUAUUAAUUGCGCAUGAUUCAAGGAAAGAGUUGAAACUUGAAGUGGAAGAUCAUGGGAACCAAUGUAGUCUAAGCUCUUGUUUUUUAUUCAUUGUAAUGGAUAUAGUGUUGUUUGUGCUUAUAAUUCGUGUGGUGUUUACUUGUAAGACAUUUUGUGAGCUUAAUAUGAUGAUCAAUGGAUGAUACAAAGGCUGGAAAAUCAUUAUAAAGACAACACAAUACAAGGGAUGGAAGGAGAAAGCACCAACACUUAACAAAAAUUUGGAGGACAAAUUCCAGUGAAGAGCUGUGAUAAGCAUGCGGGGCAUGCUCCAUUCCAUAGAAAUUGAGGGUUCGGCACAUGAUCCAUUCCAUUGUAAUAGAGGGUAUGAUUCAUGCACCACUCCACUCCUGGGCAUUUUAUGUUAAUUCGACUCCUAGACGGACUUGGCUUACCCUUAUGCUAUAUAUACAUAUUGUAUCACGUUUUUACAUAUCUUUGGAUGUAUUUUGGAGGUCAAGUGGUUGAUACAACUUCAUAAUUAGGUUUUUAUUGUUUUCAUUUAGUUCAUUCAUAUUUGUAGUCAUUAAUUACAACAUUGUGAUUACAAUUAUGACUAUGUGUGGUUAAAUGCCCUCUUUUUGGGGUUGAAGCCAAGAACAUUAGUUUUGAAUUGAGUUCAUUUGAUUUUCUUAUCACUGUUGGUUGUUUGCUUAUUCUUAUUAUAACUAUUUUGAGGAUUUUUGAAACUUAAAAUACAUUUAUUAUCAACCUUGUGAACUCAGGAGAUGGAAUAGGGAGAUAAAACAUAUUAAUAAACAGAGUAUGGUUUGUAUUUCUUUAUGAAACGAGGAAUUCAAAUUAGUGUCUAGGACAGGGUUGUACUUAGAUAUCAUAAUUGAUUCAUAUGUAGGAUGAUAUUUGUAAAGAAAUUAAGUGAACUAUUACAUCCCCGAUCAACGAUGUAUGUGUAAGUUUCAACUUAGGUAAACGAUUAGAGAUUGGGAAACCGUAAUCAUGCAAUAAACCCUAUGAAUCAACAACCAAGAUAAGCAAGUUGACGAAUGAAGUUCAAUAACAUAACAUUAUUGUUCGAAGUGAUUCAACCCUGGUUUUUCUCCAAUUGAUUGUCUUAAGACCUUUACUUUACGCUUUGUUUUUUUUUUACUUGCAAUUAUAAAUUCCAAACACUCUUUUUAGUUACUCUUGCAUCAAGUGAAUCUAAAUUGUGAACUAAAAUUGAAUCUUUGCCAAAUCAAGUCUCUUUGGAAUUGAUAUUCAUCUUUAUUGAAGGCCACUAUAUUACUUGGUAAACCACACACACUUUUGUGUGCGCUGACCAAGUUUUUAGCGCCGCUGCUGGGGACUUGUUAUUUGGCAACUAUUUAUUUUAAUUUUAUUUCUAAAUUUAUUUGGUGUUUUUACGCAUGAUCUUGUUUUUGCAGGAAAUAGGUUCUUAAAUUUAUAAGAUGGAAAGCGAUCGGGAGUUGGUAGAAUAAAAAUCAAAACCCAAACAACUUUACCAUCAGUGAAGAAGAGAAGCAAUCCUUCUCCCUAGAAUUCCGCAAAUCCAAGGAUACCAAGAGAUUCCUUUUCCAAUGGCUGAACAACAAGUAGCCAGAAGGAUAGUUAAGGAAGUAGCAGUCCCACUUCCGAUGAACUUGUCUUCCCCAAUUCAAAGAUCGGCAUCUGGGGAAUUUUGAAUUGAAACACAAUAUGGUGCAGCUUCUUAUCAGCAGUGGAUAGUUUGUAGUUCUUUCAUACGAGGAUCCACAAGUCCACUUGCAUACCUUCAUUGAGUUUACUGAUACAUUCACUUCAACUGGGGUGGCUCCAGAUUAUGUGAAGCUAACACUAUUUCCCCAUUGCCUUUUAGGGGAAGAAAAGAGGUGGUUGAAUGCGUACUCGGCUAAUUCAAUCACAACAUGGGAUAACUUAUCCAAAAAGUUACUCAUCAGGUUCUUUCCAUCAGGAAAGACUAUGAGAAUUCACAGUGAGAUAGUGAGCUUCAAACAGAAUCCUGAUGAAAGCCUUUAUCAUGCUUGGGAAUGCUUCAAGGCUCUUUUUUGAGAAUUUCCACACCACCAAUAGUUUAAUGAGGUACUUGCUCAUACUUUUGUAGAAGCUCUUUAUCACAAUAUAAAGAUUUUGCUAGAUACAACCGCAGGUGGUCAAGCAUUGGAAUUGACUUAUGAUGAGUUGUACACAUUGAUGAACUGUAUAGAACAAGGAAAUCCAAAGUGAUAUUCAGAUUCUAGAAGUGCCAUGAAAAGAAUUACAGGUGUAUUAGAGGUGGAAAAAUUCACACCCUUACCAGCACAGCUUUUGGCAUUACAGAAUUUGAUCAAUACCUCAUUCAACAGCAUAAAGUUGGGAACAGUAUAACCUGGAGCCACAGUCAAUGCCAUUCAAUAAGCUGAAGGUUGGUAUGAGAUUUACAGAAAUAAUGGCCAUACAUCUACCAUAUGUGUAGCAAAUACGUAAUCGGUGAUGUUUGUAAGCUAUGCUAAAAAAUAGAACUAUGGAAAUGCUUAGAAGUGGCAGACUCAGCUACAAAAUUAUCCAUGGAACUCCCCACAACCACAUGCCCAAUAAAAUCCAUGAAUAAGAAACAUGGAAGAAAUGUUGAAAAAACUUUUAUCUAGUCAAGCACAAUUGGUUACAGAUAUGAAAAGUCAAAAGGCAGAUUAUCAGAAUCAGCAAACAAACACAAGAAGUUUAGGGUUUCAAGUGGUCCUAUUAUCACAGGUAUUGAAUACAAGACAACAAGGUGGUUUGCCAGUAGAUACAGAAAAUCUAAAGUAGGUUAUUGCAAUCACCUUGAGAAGUGGUAAGGAGCUUCAUGGAGAACCUCCUAAGGCAACAAAGGAGGUAGAUACUAAUGCGGUGACCCAAAAGGUAGAUGAAAAGUUUGCUUAAAAUUCAAGGAAGUCUGAGUACUUGAAUGAAAAAGUUGCUGAACCAAAAGUGAAGAAGACCCCACCUCUUCCCUUUUCUCAUAAGCACAUAAAGUGAAGGAGGACGCCAUGUUUAAGAAGUUCUUUGAUACAUUCAGAGAGCUUCACUUUAACUUACCUUUGCUAGAUAUUUUGCAAAGUAUGCCUAAGUACUCAAACUACUUGAGGAAUGUGGUGUCUAAGAAGGUGAAACUGCAAGAUGUGGAAGAUAUAACACUCAUUAAAGGGUGUAGUACUGUAAUGCCAUAGAAGAUCCCCAAGAAAUUUAAACAUCAGAGAAAGUUUACUAUUCCCAUACAAAUGGGAGGAAAAGAGGUUCAUGCACUAAGUGACUUAGGGGCAAGCGUAAAUUUGAUACCUCUAUCAUUGUUCAGAAAAUUGGACUUAGGAGAGCCUAAAGGUGCAUGAGUAGUUAUGCAGUUCCCAGAUGGAUCCAUAGCAUAUCCGAAUGGAAUUAUUGAGGAUGUCCUCAUAAAGGUUGGUAAAUUUGUUAUUCCUACUAAUUUUUUUGCUCUUGAUUUUGUGGCAGAUGAACAGGUACAUUUUAUUAGGGUUCUAAUUUUUAGUGACCAUAGGGUCUUUGAUUGAUGUUAGAGAAGACACACUCAAGAUGAGGGUAGAUGAUGAAGAGUUGGUAUUUGUUAUUUACAAGGCCCCCAUUGAAAAUCCCUUAUAUAAAGAUUUAUGCAUGAACAAUAUUUUUGAAAGGGAUGACCCGAUCGAUUUGUAGCCCAUAAUACGCUUGGACCCCGGGUCCACCCCUGGAAUCGUGGGCUAUAACACAUCGAUUUGGCCCAAAAGUGCCCUGUACGCACCAUUUCUCUUGUUUAUCCACCCAAAUAGCCAUGAAUAUUGAAACGGACAAAACUAGGAUGAUCCCUAACCUCACUGGCAUUUCCCAGUUAAUUUUUGACCCACAACAUGCCCAAACUUUGAGCCCACUCCCAGAAUCGUGGCCUUAGCACACUGAUUUGGCCUAAAAAUGCUCCGUUCACGCCAUUUUGCCCGUUUGUCCACCCAAAUGCCAUGAAUAUUGAAACAAUCCACACUGGAUGAUCCCCAACCUCAUUGGCAUGCCCCGUUCCAUUUUUGGUCCACAAAAUGCCCUGAUCCUAGGACCACCCCUAGAAACGUGGGCUAUAGCACAUUGAAUUGGCCUUAAAAUGCCCUAUUCGCGCUAUUUUGUCGAUUUAUCCACCCAAAUGGCCACGAAUAUUUACACUGACUACACUGGUAUGAUGUCCAACCCCCUGGCACACCCUAAUCAAUUUUUUACCCACAACAACCUCGGAUCCUAGGCCCACCCUAAAACUGUGGGCCAUAGCAUAUCGAUUUGGCCGAAAAAUGCCCUGUUCGCUCUGUUUUUCCCAUUUGUUCUCAAAAAUUGCCAUGAAUUUUGAAAUAAACCAUAUUGGAAUGAUCCCAAACCUCCGUGUCAUGCCCCAAUUUAUUUUUGUCCCAUAUCACGCCCAGACCCAAGGCCCACCCUUGGAACUAUGGGCUAUAGCAUACCGAUUUGGCCCGAAAACAACCCGUUCACGUUGUUUCACCUAUUUUCCACCCAAAUAUCCAUUAAUAUUAAAACGAACCACACUGAGAUGAUACCCAACCUUCUGAAAUGCUCCAGUAAAUUUUUGGCCCACAGUAUCCCUGGACCACAGGCUCACCCCCGGAACCAUGGGUUAUAGCACACUGAUUUUGCUCGUAAAUAACCCGUUUGCACCAUUUUGCUUGUUUAUCUAGCCAAUGGUAAUGGAUAUUGAAAGGUCCAUACUGGGAUGAUCCCCAACCUCCUAGGCAUUCCCCUAUUGAUUUUCGUCCCACAGCAUGUCCAAACCCUGGGCCCACCCCUGAAAUCAUAGGCUAUAGCACACCAAUUUGGUCUGAAAAUGCCUCGUUCAUGCUAUUUUGCUUGUUUAUCCAUUAAAAUGGCCACAAAUAUUGAAAUGGACCACACUAUAAUGAUACUAAUCUCCUAGUAUACCCAAAUCAAUUUUUUUUCCACAACAUGCUCGGAUCCUAAGUCCACCUCCGAAAUCGUGGGCUAUAGCACAUUGAUUUGGCCUUAAAAUAUGCCGUUUGCGCUGUUUCACCUAUUUUUCACUCCAAAUGGCCACAAAUAUUGAAAUAGACCAUAAUGUGAUGAUCUAUAACCUCCCUAUAAUGCAUCAAUCAAUUUUUAUCCCAUAACACGCCCGAACCUCGAUCCCAGCCCAGAACCGUGUGCUAUAGCACACCAAUUUGGCCAGAAAUGUCCUGUUCUCGCUGUUUUACCCAUUUGUAUACCCAAAUCGCUAAUAAUAUUUAAAUGGACCAUGCUAUGAUGAUCCAUAACCUCUUUGGCAUGCCCCGAUAAGGUUUUGGCCUGCAGCAUGCCCAGUGUCCUUCCCUAAAAUCCUGGGCAAUAACAUACCGAUUUGCCCUGAAAAUGUUUCGUUCGUGCCAUUUUGCUCGUUUAUUCACCCAAAUAUCCAUGAAUAUUUACACAGACAACCCUGGAUGAUCCUCAACAUACCUAGAAUACCUCAUUCAUAUUUUGGCCCUCACUAGGCUCGUGCCCCAAGCACACCCCCAAAAUCGUGGGCUAUAGCACACUGAUUUUUCUUGAAAAUACCCCAUUCGUGCUGUUUUGCCCAUUUGACAUUCCAAAUGGACACCAAUAUUAGAAUAGCACAAAUUGGGAUGAUCCCUAACCUCCCUAGCAUGCCUCAAUCAGUUUUUAACACCCAUCACACUCAUACCCUAGGCCCAACCCUGGAACUGUGGGCUAUAUAGCAUACCGAUUUGGCUUGAAAAAUCCUCAUUCAUGUUGUUUUGCCCGUUUGUCCACCCAAUGGCCACAAAUAUUAAAUUAGACCAUAUUGGGAUAAUCUCAAACCUCCCUAGCAUGUAUCAAUUAAUUUUUCACCCACAUCACGCUCGAACUCAGGGCCCACCCAUGGAACUAUGGGCUAUAGCACACCAAUUUAGCCUAAAAUGCCCUGUUUGCACUGUUUCACUCGUUUGUCAACCCAAAUGGCCAUGAAUAUUGAAUGAGACCACUCUAGGAUGAUCCCAAACCUCCCUGGUAUGCCUCAAUCAAUUUUUGGCAUAUAGCAUGACUGGACCCCAGGCCCACCCCGAGAACCGUGGGCUAGCACACUGAUUUAGCUCGAAAAUACCCCGCCAGCACUAGUUCUCUCAUUUGUACACCCAAAUGGCCAUUAAUAGUUAAAGGUACCACACUGGGACGAUACCCAAACUCUCUGGUAUGCCCCAAUAGAUUUUUUUCCAUAGCACACCCGGACCCUAGGGCUACCCCCGAAAUCGUAGGAUACAGCACACCAAUUUGGCCAAAAAAUGCCCCGUUCGUGCUGUUCCACCUGUUUGUCCACACAAAUGGACACAAAUAUUGAAAUAGACCACAAUAGGAGGAUCCCAAACCUCCCUGGCAUGCCUCGAUCAAUUUUUGACCCACAGCAUGCCCCGACCUUGGGCCCACCCUUGGAACCGUGGGCUAUAUCACAUUGGUUGGCCUAAAAAUGCCCCGUUCACUCCAUUUCGCCUGUUUGACCACCCAAAUGGAAAUGAAUAUUGAAACGAACCAAAAUGAUAUGAUAUCCAACCUCCUUGGCAUGCCCCGUUAAAUUUUUGACUGAAAGUAUGCUUGGACCUCGGUCCCAUCCCCAGAACUGUUGGCCAUAACACAUCGAUCUUGCCUGAAAAUGCUCCGUUCGCGUUGUUUUACUUGUUUCUCCACACAAAUGGCCAUGAAUAUUGAAAUAGACCACACUAGGAUGAUCCCCAACCUCCCUGACAUGCGUCGGUCUAUUUUUAGUGUACAAAACACCUGGAACCCAGGCCCACCCCAAAACUGUGGGCUAUAGCACACCGAUUUAGCCUAAAAAUGCCCGGUUCAUGCCGUUUUGCCCGUUUGUCCACCCAAAAUGGCCAUGAAUAUUGAAAAAAACCACAAUAGUAUGAUACCCAACCUCCCUAGAAUACCUAAUCAUUUUUUUUACCCACAACACGCUCGGACCCCGGGCCCACCCCCAGAACUGUGGGCUAUAAGACAUUAAUUUGGCUGGAAAAUGCCACGUUCACGUCGUUUCGCCUAUUUAUCCACCAAAAUUGCCAAGAAAAUUGAAACAGAACACACUAGGAUGAUCACCAACCGUUCUAUCACGGCUCGAUUAAUUUUUGUCCGAUAGCACGCCCUGACCCCGAGCCUACCCCCAAAACCAUGGUAAAUAGCUCAUUGACUUGGCCCAAAAAUACCCCAUUUGCGUUGUUUCACCCAUUUAAAUAGCCAUGAAUAUUGAAAUAGACCACACUUGGACUAUCCAUAACCUCCCUGGGAUGCCCUAGUUGAUAUUUAUCCCACAGCAGACCCGGAACCCGAGCCCACCUAAGAACCAUGGGCUAUAGCACACCAAUUUGACACGAAAAUACCCCGUUCGCACUAUUUUGCCUGUUUUUAACCCAAAUAGCCACAAAUAUUGAAACAUUCCAUAAUGGAAUAUUCCCCAACAAACCUAGAAUGCCUCAAUAGAUUUUUGUACCACAUCAUGCUCGCAUCUCGGGCCCACCACCAAAACCGUGGGCUAUAGAACACCGAUUUGGCAUAAAAUGACCCAUUCGUGCCGUUUUUCCCGAUUUUCCACACAAAUGGCCACAAAUAUUGAAACAGACCAUACUAGGAGAAUUCUUAACCUCCCUAGCAUGUCUUGGUCAAUUUACAGCCCACAAAAUUCUUGGAUGUCGAGCCUACACCUAAAACUGUGAGCUAUAGCAUACCGAUUUGGUCCAAAAAUGCCUUAUUUGCAUAAUUUCUCUUGUUUUUCAACACAAAUAGCCACGAAAAUUGAAACACACCAUACUGGGAUGAACCCCAAACUCCCUGGCAUGCCCCGGUUAAUUUUUGUUUCACAGCAUACCCGAAACCCAAGCCCACCCCCAAAUGGCCACAAAUAUUGAAACAGACCACAUUGUGAUGAUCCCUAACCUCUCUAUUAUUCCUCAAACAAUUCUCAACCAACAUCACAUCCAAACCCUGGGCCUACCCUAGAACCGUGGGCUAUAGCACACCAAUUUGGCCUGAAAAUGCCCAGUUCAUGCUGUUUCGCCCGUUUGUCUAUCCAAAUAGGUACAAAUAUUUAAAACGAACACACUGGGAUGAUCCCUAACCUCCUUAGCACGCCCUAAUAUAUUUAUGGCUCACAGCACGCCCGAACCCCAGACCCACCCCUAGAACCCUGGGCUAUAUCACACUAAUUUAACCUGAAAAUGCCUCGUUCGCCUUAUUUCGCCCAUUUGUCAACCUAAAUGGCCACGAAUAUUGAAAUGGACCACACUGGGAUAAUUACCAUGCCUCAGUCAAUUUUUAACCAACAACACGCCUGAAGCUCGAGCCCACCCCUGGAAUGGUGGGCUAUAGCACACCAAUUUAUCCCAAAAAUUCCCCGUUUGUUUUACUUCGCCCAUUUGUCCAUCCAAAUGGCCACGAAUAUUGAAACGUACCACAAUGGGACCAUCCUUAACCUACCUGGAACUCCCUUAUUGAUUUUUGGCCAUCAUCACGACCGAGCCCCAAGCCCACCCCCAAAACCAUGAGCUGUAGCAUAUCAAUUUAGCUCGAAAAUACACCAUUUGUGCUGUUUCACCCAUUUGUCUACCCAAAUGGCCAUGAAUAUAGAAACAGAACACACUAAGAGAUCCCCAACCUCCCUGGAAUACCUCGAUCUAUUUUCAAUUAACAAUACGCCCAAACCUUGGGCCCACCCUAAAACUGUGGGCUAUAGCACACUAGUUUGGCCCGAAAAACCUCAUUAACACCAUUUCGCUUAUUUGUCUACCCAAAUGGACACGAAUAUUGAAAAAAACUACACUGGGAUGAUCCAAAACCUUCCUAAAAUACAUCGAUCAAUUUUUAUCCCAAAGAACAUCCAAAGCCUGGGCCCACCCCAGAACCGUGGGCUAUAGCACACCAAUUUAUCUCAAAAAUGCCCCGUUCGCGCCAUUUUACCUAUUUGUCUAUCCAAAUGGCCAUGAAUAUAGAAAUGAACCACACUGGGAUGAUCCCUAACUUCCCUGUAAAGCCUUGAUUGAAUUUUAACCAAGAACACGAUCGGAUCCUAGGCCCAUCCCUGGAACCGUGGGCUAUAGCACACUGAUUUGGCCUCAAAACACCCCGUUCACGUUAUUUUAACCAUUUGCCCACCCAAAUAGCCACGAAUAUUGAAACGGACCACACUGGGAUGAUCCCCAACCUCCCUGGUAUGCCCUAAUAGAUUUUUAGCCCUCAGAACGCCUAGACCCCAGGCCCACCUCUGGAAUCUUGGGCUAUAGCACACCGAUUUAGCCUGAAAAUGACCUGUUCGGGGCAUUUCACUUGUUUGUCAACCCAAAUAGCCACGAAUAUUUAAAUGAACCACACUAGGAUAUAACACACUGAAUAAGACCAAAAAUACCCUAUUUGUACACUGGGAUAAUUACCAUGCCUCAGUCAAUUUUUAACCAACAACACGCCUGAAGCUCGAGCCCACCCCUGGAAUGGUGGGCUAUAGCACACCAAUUUAUCCCAAAAAUUCCCCGUUUGUUUUACUUCGCCCAUUUGUCCAUCCAAAUGGCCACGAAUAUUGAAACGUACCACAAUGGGACCAUCCUUAACCUACCUGGAACUCCCUUAUUGAUUUUUGGCCAUCAUCACGACCGAGCCCCAAGCCCACCCCCAAAACCAUGAGCUGUAGCAUAUCAAUUUAGCUCGAAAAUACACCAUUUGUGCUGUUUCACCCAUUUGUCUACCCAAAUGGCCAUGAAUAUAGAAACAGAACACACUAAGAGAUCCCCAACCUCCCUGGAAUACCUCGAUCUAUUUUCAAUUAACAAUACGCCCAAACCUUGGGCCCACCCUAAAACUGUGGGCUAUAGCACACUAGUUUGGCCCGAAAAACCUCAUUAACACCAUUUCGCUUAUUUGUCUACCCAAAUGGACACGAAUAUUGAAAAAAACUACACUGGGAUGAUCCAAAACCUUCCUAAAAUACAUCGAUCAAUUUUUAUCCCAAAGAACAUCCAAAGCCUGGGCCCACCCCAGAACCGUGGGCUAUAGCACACCAAUUUAUCUCAAAAAUGCCCCGUUCGCGCCAUUUUACCUAUUUGUCUAUCCAAAUGGCCAUGAAUAUAGAAAUGAACCACACUGGGAUGAUCCCUAACUUCCCUGUAAAGCCUUGAUUGAAUUUUAACCAAGAACACGAUCGGAUCCUAGGCCCAUCCCUGGAACCGUGGGCUAUAGCACACUGAUUUGGCCUCAAAACACCCCGUUCACGUUAUUUUAACCAUUUGCCCACCCAAAUAGCCACGAAUAUUGAAACGGACCACACUGGGAUGAUCCCCAACCUCCCUGGUAUGCCCUAAUAGAUUUUUAGCCCUCAGAACGCCUAGACCCCAGGCCCACCUCUGGAAUCUUGGGCUAUAGCACACCGAUUUAGCCUGAAAAUGACCUGUUCGGGGCAUUUCACUUGUUUGUCAACCCAAAUAGCCACGAAUAUUUAAAUGAACCACACUAGGAUAUAACACACUGAAUAAGACCAAAAAUACCCUAUUUGUGUCGUUUCGCCCAUUUGUCAAACAAAAUGACCAUGAAUAUUGAAAAAAACCACGGUGGAAUGAUACCCAACCUCCCUAGCAUGCCCCGAUCAAUUUUUUUCCCACAUCAUGCCCGGAUCCCAGGCCCACCCCCAGAACCGUGGUCUAUAGCACUCUGAUUUAGCUCGAAUAUGCCCCAUUCUCAUUAUUUUGCCUGUUUUUCCACCCAUAUGGCCACGAUUAUUGAAAAGGACCAUACUGGGAUAAUCCUUAACCUCCUUGGCAUACCCCGAUUUAUUUUUGACCCAUAUAACAGCAAGACCCCAGGCUCACCCCAAGAACCUUGGGUUAUAGCACUCCGAUUUGGCCCGAAUAUUCCUCAUUCUCAUCGUUUCAAUGUUUGGUCCACCCAAAUAGCCAUGAAUAUUGAAACUGCCCAUACUAGAAUAAUUGGAAACCUCCCUAGCAUACCUCAGUCAAUUUUUAACCCAUAACACACCUGGAACCCGAGCCUACACCCAAAUUCGUGGGCUAUAGCACACCAAUUUGGCCCAAAAAUGCAUCGUUUGAAUCAUUUCUCUUGCUUGUCCAACCAAAUAGCAACGAAUAUUGAAAUAGACCACACCGAGACAAUACUAAACCUCCUUAACAUGACUCGAUCAAAUUUUAGCCCACAGCACACCCGAACCCUGGGCCCACCCCAAGAACCGUGGGCUAUACUAUACUGAUUUAGCCUAAAAAUACCCCAUUUGUGCUAUUUCACCAGUUUGUCCACCAAAAUGGCAACGAAUAUUUAUAUGAACCAUACUGGGAUGAUCCCUAGCCUUACUGGCAUGCUCCAGUCAAUUUUUGACCCACAGAACAUCCGGACCCUAGGUCUACCACAGAAUCAUGGGCUAUAGUACAUUAAUUUGGCUCGAAAAUGACCAUUCAUGCUGUUUUGCCUAUUUGUCCUUUCUAAUGUCCACGAAUAUUAAAAUGGACCAUGCUGGACUAUUCCUAAACUCCCUGGCAUGCCCCAAUCAAUUUUUUGACCAUAACAUGCUCGGACCCCCAGGGAUGACCCCAGAAUCAUAGUUUAUAUCACACCGAUUUGGCUACGCCAUUUUUUCCAUUUUCCACCUAAAUGAUCACAGUUAUUGAAAUAGACCACACUGAUAUGAACCCCAACCUACCUGGCAUGCCUCGAUCAACUUUCAUCCCACAGCAUGCUCGAAACCCAGGCCCACCCCUAGAAUUAUAGGCUAUAUAGCACACUAAUUUGGCUCAAAAAUGCCCCGUUCGCGCCGUUUCAACUGUUUUUCCACCCAAGUUACCACGAAUAUUGAAAAGGACUACACUGGGAUGAUUCACAACCUCCCUAGCAGGCCCAUAUAGAUUUUUUGCCCAUAGAAUGCUCUGAUCCUGGGCCCACCCCAGGAAUCGUGGGCUAUAACACAUCAAAUUAGCUCGAUAAUGCCUCAUUCAUGCCAUUUUACCCGUUUGUCCAUCCAAAUUUCCAUAAUUCAAUGAAACAUACUGGUAUGAUACCCUAUAACCCUGGCACACCCCGAUAGAUUUUUGGCCCACAUCAUACUCGUACCCCUGGCCCACUUUCAAAAUAGUGGGCUAUAGCACACCGAGUUGGCCUAAAAAUGCCCACUUCUCGCUAUUUUGCCCGUUUGUCAACCCAAAUGGUCAAAAAUAUUAAAACAAACCACAUUGAAUUGAUCCCCAACCAACCUAGCAUGCCCUAGUUGAUAUUCAUCCCAUAGCAUGCCCAAACCACAGGCCUCUCCAGGUAAUAGCUUACCACUUCUAGUGGUGAUAGCCAUGUAUGAGCCAUUAUUCUAUGGAUUUUAGACCGUAUCACUUGGUAACAUUUUGCUUUUCCUAUGGUUGAAUACUGCAAAGAGUUAGCUCAUCUGUUGCUCCAACUGUUUGAUUACGGUGGAGUGUGAGUGCACAAACGGACUGAUGGAUGCCAUAUCGGUCUUCAUGGUGGUCACGCUAGAGUUGGUAGCCUCCACUCACUUCAACAACUUAGCCAUCAUGUCCUCCAUGGACAUCUCUUUAGAACUUGUUGAAGCAGCCUCACGAUUUCUAGGAGAUACAUAUAGCCCACUCCUAUCAUUGUUAUUCCUCCAAUUUCCUUGCUCCUUAUCUUUAUAACUAGGCCUAUCAUCGUAAGUUCGGCCUUGAUUCCAUUGGCUAUUGCCUUGGAAACCCCCUGAUUAUUAACAUAGUUCUCUUCUUCAUUUGCAUCAGCCUCAAUUCUAUCUUGAGAUCCCACAACUUACACCUUCUAAAUCUUGCCUGAUAGAAAGUUCUUGGUUAGCAAGUCCAUUUGUGUUUUAAGGUGAGCCAUGUCUUGGUCACUCUUCUCAUCUCUUCUGCUUUGCUCUGCAGUAAUACCCCUUACAAAUAGUAGGGCUAGCUACCACAGAGUCUCUGGUAAACUAUGCUUGACUGUAUUUAGUCAUUCUUUCCAACAUCUCAAAAGCCUCUGGGAAUGUAAAAUCAACAAACGAACCACCAACAACAUUAUCUACAAUUGGCUUUGUAAUAGAGUUAAGAGCCCUGUAUAUAGUCUCCAUCAAGUUUAUGUCCGUCAGAUUUUGGUUCGUACACUGUAUCAGCUUCUUCUUUAAUCUCUGCCAGGUUUCAUGUAAGGUUUUAGUCAGGAGCUGCCUAAAGUUGUUGAUCUCAUCCCUAAACUGUACCCUCUUCUUGGAAGAAGAAAAUAACCUUUCUAGGAAAGCUCCUUUCAACUGCCUCCAGUUGGUUAUAAAAUCAGGUGUCAGUUCAUUUAGCCACAAUGUUGCCUCCCCAGAGAGAGACAACAGGAACAAUCUCAAUCGGAUAGCAUUCCGGCCUACUCCUGGGUUAUCAAAAGAUUUAAAAUAGUGACAAAAUUCACCAGAUGCAAGUUCAGGUCAUCCCCAGGAAGGCCACCAAACAACCCGUUCAAAUUGAUAAGUUGGAUCAUAGUACUCGUAAUGUUGAAUUUCACCCCAGGUGCCAACGGUGGAGGAAUAAUUGCACCCAUUUCACCUGCUCCGUCUAUUCCAUCAUCAUAAUCAUUGAGAUCAUACUGGACCGGCUGGUAUAAUUGCCUUUCUCAAAAUGGACAGUUCCUGUUAACAUUACACUGUACUGGUGCAGCUAUUUGCUCUGCACGCCUUGGGUUACUAGGAUUCAUCAACUUCUCAUCUCCUAAAUCUUCAUCUUUGGGAUUUGGAAGUCAUGCCUGUUGACCGACAUUUUGCACAUUCACCUGAGCUCUAGCUAAGGCUGCUAACCUGUCAGACUCUUGUUGUUCUAUCAUUCUUCCAAUUUGUUGCGGUUCCAGAUUAAGUGGUAAUAAUGGUUCUCCAAAACUUCUGGUUCUUGGUAUACACUGUAAAGAUCCUGCAAUAAACAAAAACAACAAAUAAAUGUAAAACUAGAAAACUUGACUAAUAGCCAAUUUGCGCCUACAAACUUUAGUUUACAACUAUAUUCCCCAGUAACGGUGUCAUUUUUGAUAACGCGCAAACUACACCUCUCAAUGAGAAUGUAAACGAUCAUUGUCAAUAUAAAACCCAACUAGGUUGGGGUCGAAUCCCACAGGGAAUAUGGUGUGAAUGUAAGUCAUUUGCGAUUUAAUCAACUGAUAGUUGGAUAUUUCCAGAAAUGGGGUUUUUAGUUUAACAAGUAAUUGUUGGUCACUUUAGUUUCAGUGUUCGUAAUCAAGAGUUUAUGAGAAACCAGAAUUAUGUUCACUAGGGGUUUUGGUACUUGACAGAUGCUAAUAGUGGUUCAAGAUUCUCGCCGUAGCUAGGAAAACAGGUUAUUUUUAUCGAAGUUAUUCCUAAAUGUCUCUCGACCUACUUAAUCAUUUAAUUACCUAAUCCUCUUGGACUUAGGAAAUUUAUGUUCACUGGCCAGACUUUAUCUCAGGUUAACUAACCUUACUACAACGUUGAUUAUUAAAUGGAAGUUUAGUGUUUCCAAGUCCCUGUUGAUAAUUCACUUCCCACUAUAUUUAAUUUCUUUCUCAAGCAAAUCAAAGUAGGUGUUAUCUAUCGUUUGCAACCAAUAGACGUAAAUUAAAACCUCAUAAUUAUCAAGAAGUCCUAUUACCUUUUGAAUCUUGAACACUUAGCACUUUAUCAAGACUUAACCCUAGAUCCCAUAAUUCAGGUUAGAGGGAUUUAGCCACUCAUAAAGUUAAAAUCGAAACAACUAGUUGUAUUCAUGCUUUGAAAGAUUAACUUACCACAAGAAAAAUAAUAACUAGUGAAUCUCAGAUUAGAUCGCAAUACAAAUCCCAAAAUAAUGAUUAUAAUCUCUUCAAAGUAAUUGUUUUUUCAAGCCAAGAAAUUAGAGAGAGAAAAUAUAAAAGUAUGUGUCUCAAAACUCAAUGUUCGGAACUCUCCAGAAAACCCUAAACAAGGCUUUAAAUAGUUCACCCCAAUUAUGGAAACAAAAUAAUAAAAUUCAGAAAUUCCUCGGAUUAGGUGAUGCCAUUUGUGAUAGCCUAUCAGGAGGCUGAUGACUUAUCACAAAUGUCGUCAGCUCCUCUUUUCUUUUAAUACUCGCUGCCUAAUGCUGAUGACAAAUGGUGAUGCUCUAUUAGCUCCUUGAUGACCUAUCACGAAUGUCGUCAAGUCUCUACUUCAGCUCUCAUGUGUUGCCUUAGGCUGACGACAACUUUAACGACUUAUUAGCUUCUUGACAACCUAGCACAAAAUGUUGUCACAGCUUUUAACUCAAGUCGAUUCUCUAUCUGAGGCUGAUAAUGAAGCUGAUAACUUAUCAAAGGUCUGCCGACCUAUUCAAAAUGUCGUCAACCAUACUUCUCCUUUAUUUUCUUCCAAUUUCAACUCUUUUGCUUCCAUCCUUGUUGGUUCUCUAUCGUCUUAGCUUCUACUAUAAAAUCAAACAUAAAACAAUCAAAAAUGAAAAACGUUUCUUAAGACUUCACAAUUGUUCUUAGUUAAAAGCCUCAAAUGUGUUAGCAUUAGCUCACACAUCAAUAUCACACCGAUUUAGCCCAUAAAUGCCCUGUUCAGACCGUUUCACCCAUUUGUCAACCUAAAUGGCCACGAAUAUUAAAACAAACCAAACUGGGAUAAUCACCAUGCCUCGAUCGAUUUUCAACCAACAACAUGCCCGAAACCCGGGACCACCCCUGGAAUGGUGGGAUAUAGCACACCAAUUUAUCCAAAAAAUACCUCGUUUACGCCGUUUUGCCCAUUUGUCCACCUAAAUGGCCACGAAUAUAGAAACGGGCCAUAUUAGGACCAUCCUCAACCACCCUGGCACUCCCUUAUUAAUUUUCAGCCCUCAGCACACCUGGGCCCCGAGCCCACCCUUGAAACUGUGGGCUAUAGCACACUAAUUUAGUCCGAAAAUGCCUAGUUAGCACUAUUUCACCCAUUUGUCUAACCAAAUGGCAACGAAUAUAGAAAUGAACCACACUAGGAGAUCACCAACCUUCCUAGAAUACCUCAGUCUAUUUUCAAACAACAACACACCCAAACCCUAGGCCCACCCUUAGAACCUUGGGCUAUAGCACACCAAUUUGGCUCGAAAAAACCCAUUCACACUAUUUCGCCCGUUUGUCUACCCAAAUAGACACAAAUAUGGAAAUAGACCACACUGGGAUGAUCCCCAUCCUCCCUAGCACACCCCUAUCACUUUUUAUCCCACAGAACAUCCAAACCCCAAGCCCACCCCAACACCGUGGGCUAUAACACAUUGAUUUAGCCCAAAAAUGCUCGUUUGCGCUGUUUUGCCCAUUUGUCUAUCCAAAUGGCCAUGAAUAUAGAAAUGGACCACACUAGGAUGAUCACUAACCUCCCUGGCAUGCCUUGAUUGAUUUUCAACCAACAAAAUGCUCGGACCCUAGGCCCACCCCUGGAACCGUGGGCUAUAGCACACCAAUUUGGACCCAAAAUACCCCAUUCGCGCUGUUUCUCCCAUUUGUCUACCCAAAUGGCCAUGAAUAUUGAAACAAACCAUAAUGGGAUGAUAUCCAACCUCCCUUGCAUGCCCCAAUAGAUUUUCAUCCCUCAACACGCCUGGACCCCAGGCCCUCCCCAGAACCUUAGGCUAUAGCACAUCGAUUUGGCCUAAAAAUACACCAUUUAUAGAAUUUUGCUUGUUUGUUAAUCCAACUGGCCAUGAAUAUUUACACGGACCACACUAGGAUAUAACACACUGAAGAAGACCGAAAAGUCCCUAUCCGCACUUUUUCACCUGUUUGUCAAAUAAAAUGGCAAUGAAUAUUGAAACGAACCACAGUGGUAUGAUAGCCAACCUUCCUAGCACACCCCAAUCAAUUUUUGUACCAUAGAAUGUUCGGACCCCAGGCCCACUCCCAGAACUGUGGUCUAUAGCACUCUGAUUUAGCCCGAAUAUGCCCCCUUCUUGUCAUUUUGCCUAUUUGUCCUCACAAAUGACCAUGAAUAUUGAAACGGACCACAUUGGGAUGCUCCCUACCCUCCUUGGCAUACCUCGGUCAAUUUUUAGCCCACAACACACCUAUAUCCCGGGCCUACCCCAAGAACCGUGGGCUAUAGCACUCCAAUUUGGCCUAAAUAUGCCUCAUUCUCGCCGUUUCACACUUUUGUCCACCCAAAUGGCCAUGAAUAUUGAAACUGGCCACAAUGGGAAGAUCUUUAAUCUCUUUGGCAUGACUUGAUCAAUUUUUGGCCCACAACACACCUAGACCUGGACCCACCCCAGAACCAUGGGUUAUAGCCCACCGAUUUGGCCUGAAAAUACCCCGUUCAAAUUAUUUCCCCAUUCUCCACUCAAAUAGCCAUGAAUAUUAAAAUGACCCACAGUGGAAUGAUCCCUAGUCUCCCUGGCAUUCCCUGAUCUAAUCUUAUCCCACAGUACGCUCGAACCCCGAUCCCACCCUCGGAAUCGUGGGCUAUAGCACACUAAUUUAGUCCAAAAAUGCCUCAUUCAUGACGUUUCACCCAUUUGUCCACCCAAAUGGCUAUGAAUAUUGAAACAGACCAAACUAGGAUGAUCUCCAACCUCCAUUGCAUGCCUCGGUCUAUUUUUGGCCCACAACACAACCAAACCCCUAGCUCACCCUGAGAACUAUGGGCAAUAGAACAUUAAUUUGGCUCGAAAAUGCCUCGUUCGCGUCGUUUUUCCUAUUUGUCCACCCAAAUUGCCACUAAUAUUGAAAUGAACAACAUUGGGACAAUCCCCAACCUCUUUAGUACGCCUCAAUUGAUUUUUCACCCACAAAAUUCCUUGACCCAAGACCACUCCUGGAAUCGUGGCUAUAGCACACUGAUUUGGCCUGAAAAUUCCUCGUCUACGCUAUUUCGCCUAUUUGUCCAUCUAAAUAGCCACGAAUAUUAGAACGGACCACACUGGGACAGUACCCAACUUCCCUAGCAUGAUCUGAUUGAUUUAUGUCCCAUAGAACGCCAGGAACCCUAGCCCACCCUUAAAAUCAUGGGAUGUAGCACACCAAUUUGGCCUGAAAGUUCCCCAUUCGCCCGUUUGUCCACUGAAAUGGCCACAAAUAAUGAAAGGGACAACAAGGGGAUGAUCCCAACCUCCCUAGCACACCCCGGAUGAUUUUCGACCUAUAACACACACGAAACCCAAGCCCACCCCAGAACCAUAGGUUAUAGCAUACUGAUUCAGCCCAAAAAUACCCUAUUUACGCCGUUUCACCUGUUUCUCAACAUAAUGGACACGAAUAUUGAAACAAACCACAUUGUUAUUAUCCUAAACCUUCCUAGCAUACCUCAAUUGAUUUUCGGUCGACAACAAACUCGAACCUCGAGCCCACCCCUAGAAUCCUGAGAUUUAGCACACUAGUUUGGCUUAAAAAUACCCGGCUCAUAGAGUUUCACCCUUUUGUCCACCCAAAUAGCCACGAAUAUUUAAACGGAUCAUACUGGGAAGAUUGAUAACCUCCUUAGCACUCCCUGAUUAAUUUUUAACCAACAACACUUUCAAACCUCAGGCCCACCCCCGGAACUGUGGUCUAUAGCACAUCGAUUUGGUUGGAAAAUGCCAUGUUCGCGUAAUUUUGCCUAUAUAUCAACCGAAAUGGCCAUGAAUAUUUAAACAGACCAUAGUGAAAUGAUACCCAACCUCCCUGGCAUGCCUCAAUAAAUUUUUGGCCCAUAUCAUGCCAGGACAUUGGGCCCACCUCGGAAUCAUGGGCUAUAGCACACGGAUUUGGCCCCAAAAAAGCUCUAUUCGCGCUGUUUUGCCCAUUGCCAACCCAAAUUGCUACUAAUAUUGAAACGGGCUAUAUUAUUAUGAUCCCUAACUUUCAUGGAAUGCCCUUUUGGAUUUUAAACCCAAAACACACCUGGACACCGAACCCAGCCUAGAACCGUAGGCUAUACCCCACUGAUUUGCCCUGAAAAUUCCCCAUUUAGGUCGUUUUGCCCGUUUAUCCACCCAAAUGGCCAUGGAUAUUAAAACGGACCACACUGGGAUGAUCCUAACCUCUCGGGAAUUCCCUAGUCAAUUUUCAUCCCCCAGAACACCAGGACCCUGGGCCCACCCCAAAACCGUAGGAUAUAGCACACCAAUUUAGCCUUAAAAUGCCCCAUUUGUGUCGUUUCGAUUGUUUGUCCACCCAAAUGGUCAUAAAUAUUGAAAUGGACCACAUUGGUAUGAUCCCUAACCUUACUGUCAUACCCCAGUCAAUUUUCAGCCCACAGCACGUUCGAACCCCGGGGAUGACCCUAGAACCGUAGGCUAUAGCAUACUAAUCUAGCUUGAAAAUGCCCUGCUCGUGCCGUUUCACCCGUUUGUCAACCUAAAUGACCAUAAAUAUUGAAAUAAACUUUAUUAAGAUGAUCCCCAACCUCCAUGGCAUGCCCUGAUCAAUUUUUAGCCCACAACAUGCCCGGACCCUAGGCCCACCCCCAGAACCGUGGGCUAUAGCACAACAAUUUGGCCCGAAAAUACCCUAUUCAUAGCAUUUCGCCUUUUUGUACACCCAAAUGGUCAUGAAUAUUGAAACGGACCACACUAGGAAAAUUCCUAAGCUCCCUAGCAUGCCUCGGUCAAUCUUAGGCCCACAGCAAGCCCAGACCAUGGGCCCACCCCUAGAAUCGGGGUUUGUAGCAUACUGAUUUAGCUCGAAAAUGUCCCAUUCGCAUCGUUUCGCCCGUUUGUCCACCCAAUUGGAUACGAAUAUUAAAAUGGACCAUAGUGGGACAAUCCCCAACCUCUAUGGCAUAGUUAAUUAAUUUUUGACCCAUAGAAAGCUUGGACCCCAGGCCCACCCCAGAACCAUGGGCAACAAUACACCGAUUUCGUUCGAAAAUACCCCGUGUGCACUAUUUCACCCAUUUAUCGACCUAAAUGGAACCGAAUAUUGAAACAAACCACUAUGGAAUAAUUCCCAACCUCUGUGCAAUUCCCCAAUCUAAUUUUGGCCCACAACAUGCCCGAACCCUAAGCUCACCACCGGAACCGUGGGCUAUAACACACUGAUUUAGCUAAAAAAUGCCUCGUUCGCAAUGUUUUGCUUGUUUGUCCACCCAAAUGGACACAAAUAUUAAAUUUAACCACACUGGGAUGAUCCCUAACAUCCCUGGCAUACCUCGGUUGAUUUUAAUCCCACAACAGCCUGGACCCCAGGCCCACCCCCGAACCGUGGGGUAUAUCAAACCAAUUUGGCUCCAAAAUGCCUUAUUCUCACUGUUUUGCCUGUUUGUCCACUAAAAUAGCCACGAAUAAAGAAACGAACUACACUAGGAUGAUACCUAACCUCCCUGGCACACCACGAUCAAUGUUUGGCUAACGACACAGCCAAACCCUGGGUCCACCCUCAAAACUGUGGACUAUUAUAGCACACUGAUUCAGCCCAAAAAAACUACUUUAUGUUGUUUCGCCUAUUUGUCCAUGAAAAUGGACACAAAUAUUAAAAUAGACCAUAAUGGGACAAUCCCUAACCCUAUUGGCAUGCCCCGAUCAAUUUUUGGCCCAUAGUAUGCCAGGACACUAGGCCCACCUCAAGAACCGUGGGCUAUAGCACACAUAUUUUACCCAAAAAUGCCCCAUUGGUGGCAUUUUUACCAUUUGUCCAAGCCACGAAUAUUGAAAUAGACCACACUAGGAUGAUUCUCAACCAAAUUGGAAUGCCCUAAUCAAUUUUCAGCCAGCAGAACGCCCAGACCCCAGGCCUACCCCCGAAACCAUAGCCUAUAACACACAGAUUUAGUGCAGAAAUGCCAUGUUCAUGCAAUUAUUCUUGUUUGUCCACCAUAUGGCCACGAAUAUUAAAACGAUCCAUAAUAUUACGAUCCCAAACCUUCCUGGCAUGACCCAGUAUAUUUUCUUUCCAUGGCACACCCAGAACCUAGGCCCAACCCCAAAACCGUAGGCUAUAGCACACUAAUUUAGCUAAAAAAAUUCCCUGUUCGCCCUGGUUUGCCCAUUUAUCCACCCAAAUGGCCACGAAUAUUGUAAUGUACCACACUGGGAUGAUUUUAUACCUCCCUGGUAUGCCCCAAUCAAUUUUAUCCGCACACUAUGCUCGACUCUUGGGCCCACCCUGAAAUGUGGGCUAUAGUAUACCAAUUUUUCUCAAAAAUGUCCUAUUUGCACUAUUUAGCCUGUUUGUCCAUCCAAAUGGACACGAAUAUUGAAACAAACCACACCGCAAAAAUCCUCAACCUCCCUGGCAUGUCCUGGUCGAUUUUUGGCCCACAUCACACAAAGAUCCCAGGCCUACAAUCAGAACCGUGGGUUAUAAACACCAAUAGCCCCAAAAAUGCCCUGUAAUUACCAUUUUGCCUAUUUGUCCACCCAAAUGGUCAUGAAUAUUGAAAUGAACCACACUGGACAAUCCCCAACCUCCCUAGCAUGCCCUCAUAGAUAUGUGGUCCACAACAUAGUCGGACCUUGAGCCCACCCCCAAAAUCGUAGGCUAUAACAAACUGAUUUACCCUAAAAAUGUCAUAUUCACACUAUUUUGCCUGUUUGUCCACCCAAAUGGCCACAAAUAUUUAAACGGACCAUACUGAAACUAUUCCCAAACUCCCUGGCAUUCCCAAACGAUCCAUUUAUUUUGACUGAUCUAUCUAAAUGGACACAAAUAUUGAAAUAAAACACACUGGAAUGAUACCUAACCUCCCUGGAAUGCCCCAGUCAAUUUUUGGCCCACAGAACUCCCGAACCCUAGGACCACCCCCAAAACCAUGGUCUAUAACACAUUAAUUUAGCCUGAAAAUUCCCGAUCUCACCGUUUCGCCUGUUUCUCCAUCUAAAUGGCCAUGAAAAUUGAAAUGUAACACAAUGGAAUGAUUCCCAACCUCUCUACCAUAACCCAAUUUAUUUUCUCCACACAGCACACUUGGACCUUGUGCCCGUCCCCAAAACAGUGGGCUAUAGCACACCAAUUUGCUAAAAAAUGCACAAAUCACACCAUUUUGCCCGUUUGUCCACCCAAAUAGACAUGAAUAUUGAAACAGACAAUACUGGGAUGAUCCUCAACCUCCCUAGCACACCCUAUUCAAUUUUUGUCCCAUAUCACACACAGACCCCGGGCCUACCCCCAGAACCUUGGGCUAUAACACACCAAUUUACCCUAAAAAUGCCAUAUUAUUGCCGUUUUGCCCAUUUGUCCACCCAAAUGGUCAUGAAUAUUGAAAUGAUCCAUAUUGGGAUGAUACCCAACCUCCCUAGCAUGCCUUGAUCAAUAUUCAACCCACAACACAUCCGUAACUCGGGCCCACCCCCUAAAUCGUAGGCUAUAGCACACAGAUUUGGUCCAAAAAUGCCCCAUUCGUGCCAUUUUGCCUGUUUGCUCAACCAAAUAGCUACGAAUAUUUAAAUGGACCACACUGGAUAUUACCCAACCUCCCUAGCAUUCCCCGGUCAUUUUUUGGCCCACAGCUUGCUUGGACCCCAAACCCACCCCCAAUAUUAUAGGCUAUAGCACACCGAUUUCGCCAAAAAUAUCCUAUUCACGUCGUUUCUUCCAUUUUUCUUCCUAAAAAUCUAUUGAAAUAGACCACAAUGGGAACAUCCCUUACUUUCUUAUCAUGCCCAAUUGAUUUUUAGCCCUCAUCACAUACAUACCUAGGGCCCACCCUCGAAAUAGUGGGUUAUAGCACACCAAUUUGGCAUGAAAAUGCCCCGUUCGGAUCGUUUCACUCGUUUGUCCACCUAUAUGGCCACGAAUAAUGAAACCAACAAUCCUGGGAUGAUCCCCAACUUUCCUGGCAUGCCUCAAUUAAUUUACAGUCCCAACAAACCCAAAAUUCUGGCCCACCCCCGAUACCGUGGCUAAGCACACUGAUUUUUGGCCCUAAAAUGCCCCAUUCGCGCCAUUUUGCCUGUUCGUAUGCCCAAAUGGUCACGAAUAUUGAAAUAGACCAUACUACAAUGAUUCCCAAACUCCCUGUCAUGCCCUGAUUAAUUUUUGGUCCACAACAGGCCCGAGCCCUAGUCCCACCCAGAACUGUGGACUAUAGCACACCAAAUUUGCUCAAAAUGCCCAUUCGCGUCGUUUUGCCCAUUUGUCCACCCAAAUGGCCACGAAUAAUGAAAUAAACCACACUGGAAUGAUCCUCAACCAUCCUUAUAUUCCUCAGUCUAUUUACAGCCCACAAUACACUCGGACCCCGGGCCUACCCCAAAACCGUGGGCUAUUGCACACCGCUUUAGCAUGAAAAUGCCCUGUUUGCUCGAUUUCGCCCGUUUGUCCACCCAAAUGGCCAUGAAUAUUGAAAUGGGCUACAUUGGAAUGAUCACCAGAUCACCAACCUCCCUAUCAUGCCCCGAUUAAUUUUUGGCAAAUUAAAUGCCCAAACCUCAGUCCCACCAGAACCAUGGGCUAUAGAAAAUUAAUUUAGUCCAAAAAUGCCCUAUUCGUGCCGUUUUACUUAUUUCUCUACCUAAAUGGACAUGAAUACGAAAAUGGACCACAUUGGGAUAAUACCCAACCUCUUGACAUGCCUCGGUAGAUUUUUGGCCCACAACACUUCCUAACUCUGGGUCCACCCCUAAAACCAUGGGCUAUAGCAAUCGAUUUGACUCGAAAAUGCCCCGUUCGUGCCAAUUUUCCCAUUUGUCCACCUAAAUGGCAAAAAAUAUUGAAAAGGUAAACACUAGGACCAUCCCCAACAAAUUUUUUUCCUACAACACUCUUGGACCCCAGGCCUAUCCCUAAAACCGUGGGCUAUCGCACACCGAUUUGGCCCAAAAAUGCCCCUUUCAAGCUGUUUCGCCUGUUUGUCCACUGAAAUAGCCAUGAAUAUUGAAUGAAAUAGACCACAAUGGGAUGAUACCUAACCUAUCUAACAUUCCCAAAUCAAUUUUUGUCCAAACACAUGCCCGAACACAGGCCCACCCCUGGAACUGUGGGCUAUAGCACACCGAUUCGGCCAACAAAUGGUUCGUUCAGCUAUUUUGCCCAUUUGUCCUCCCAAAUGGCUACAAAUAUUUAAACAGACCACACCGGGAUGAUUCUCGACCCACAUGGAAUAAAUAGAUUGAUUUUUAGCCCAUAGCGCUCUCAGAACUCGGGCCCACCGCCAGAACCGUAGACUAUAGCACACCGAUUAGGCCAAAAAAUGCCCUAUUCGUCCAAUUUUUCCUGUUUGUCCACCAUAUGGCCUUGAAUAUUGUAAAAAACCACACUAGGAUAAUCCUAAGCAUUCCUGGCAUGCCCCGGUCGAUUUUAUCCCCACAGCUCACCUAGACCCCAGGCCCACCCCCAAAACCAUGGGUUAUAGCACACUGAUUUGGCCCAAAAAUUCCACAUUAACGCCGUUUCCCCCUUUGCCCACCCAAAUAGCCAAGAAUAUUGAAGUGUACCAUACUAGAAUGAUCCCCAAUGUACCUGUCACACCCAGGUUGAUUUUCUCCCCACAACACGCCAGGAUCCCGAGCCCACCCCCAGACGGUGGGUUAUAGCACACCAAUUUUGCUCAAAAAUGCCCUAUUCGCACUAUUUUAUCCCAUUUGUCCACCCAAAUGGACAUGAAUAUUGAAACAGACCACACUAAGAUGAUCCCUAACCUCCCUGGCACACCCUUGUCGAUUUAUAGAAUACAUCACGCCCGUACAUGGGCCUACCCUCAGAACUGUGGGCUAUAGCACACCGAUUUUCACCCAAAAUGCCCUGUUAUUACUGUUUUGCUUGUUUGUCUACCCAAGUGGUCAUGAAUAUUGAAACGGACCACACUGGGAAGAUCCCCAAUCUCCCUAGAAUGACCCAUUUGAUAUCCGACUCACAGAGCGCCCGAAACUUGGGCCCACCCCCAAAACCAUAGGCUAUAGCACAUCGAUUUGGUCCAAAAAUGCCUCAUUCGCACCAUUUUUCCUGUUUGUCCAUCCAAAUGGCCACAAAUAUUUAAACAGACCAUACUAGGAUGAUCCCCAACCUCCCUGGCAUAACCCAAUUAAUUUUUAGCCUACAGCACGCCCAGACCCUAAGCUAACCCCCAAAAUCGUGGGCUAUAGCACACCAAUUUUACCCGUUUGUCCACCCAAAUGUCCAUGAAUAUUAAAAAGGACUGCACUAAGCCCAUCCACAAUCUCCUUGGCAUAUCUCGAUCAAUUUUUGGCCCAUAACACGCCCGAAUCCCAGGCCCACCCCCAAAACUGUGGGCUAUAACACAUCAAUAUUGGCCUAAAAAUACUCCAUUUACGCUGUUUUACCAAUAUAAAAACACAACACACUAAGAUGAUCCCCAACCUCCCUGGCACUCCUUGAUCUAUUUUUGCCCCACAACACACCCGGACCCCUGGCCCACCGCUAAAAUCGAAGGCUAUAGCUCAUCAAUUUGGCCUAAAAAUGCCCUAUCAUGUUGUUUCACUCGUUUGGCCACCCUAAUGGCUAAUGAUAUUUAAAUGGUAUUGAAUGAAAUAGACCACAAUGGGAUGAUACCUAACCUAUCUAACAUUCCCAAAUCAAUUUUUGUCCAAACACAUGCCCGAACACAGGCCCACCCCUGGAACUGUGGGCUAUAGCACACCGAUUCGGCCAACAAAUGGUUCGUUCAGCUAUUUUGCCCAUUUGUCCUCCCAAAUGGCUACAAAUAUUUAAACAGACCACACCGGGAUGAUUCUCGACCCACAUGGAAUAAAUAGAUUGAUUUUUAGCCCAUAGCGCUCUCAGAACUCGGGCCCACCGCCAGAACCGUAGACUAUAGCACACCGAUUAGGCCAAAAAAUGCCCUAUUCGUCCAAUUUUUCCUGUUUGUCCACCAUAUGGCCUUGAAUAUUGUAAAAAACCACACUAGGAUAAUCCUAAGCAUUCCUGGCAUGCCCCGGUCGAUUUUAUCCCCACAGCUCACCUAGACCCCAGGCCCACCCCCAAAACCAUGGGUUAUAGCACACUGAUUUGGCCCAAAAAUUCCACAUUAACGCCGUUUCCCCCUUUGCCCACCCAAAUAGCCAAGAAUAUUGAAGUGUACCAUACUAGAAUGAUCCCCAAUGUACCUGUCACACCCAGGUUGAUUUUCUCCCCACAACACGCCAGGAUCCCGAGCCCACCCCCAGACGGUGGGUUAUAGCACACCAAUUUUGCUCAAAAAUGCCCUAUUCGCACUAUUUUAUCCCAUUUGUCCACCCAAAUGGACAUGAAUAUUGAAACAGACCACACUAAGAUGAUCCCUAACCUCCCUGGCACACCCUUGUCGAUUUAUAGAAUACAUCACGCCCGUACAUGGGCCUACCCUCAGAACUGUGGGCUAUAGCACACCGAUUUUCACCCAAAAUGCCCUGUUAUUACUGUUUUGCUUGUUUGUCUACCCAAGUGGUCAUGAAUAUUGAAACGGACCACACUGGGAAGAUCCCCAAUCUCCCUAGAAUGACCCAUUUGAUAUCCGACUCACAGAGCGCCCGAAACUUGGGCCCACCCCCAAAACCAUAGGCUAUAGCACAUCGAUUUGGUCCAAAAAUGCCUCAUUCGCACCAUUUUUCCUGUUUGUCCAUCCAAAUGGCCACAAAUAUUUAAACAGACCAUACUAGGAUGAUCCCCAACCUCCCUGGCAUAACCCAAUUAAUUUUUAGCCUACAGCACGCCCAGACCCUAAGCUAACCCCCAAAAUCGUGGGCUAUAGCACACCAAUUUUACCCGUUUGUCCACCCAAAUGUCCAUGAAUAUUAAAAAGGACUGCACUAAGCCCAUCCACAAUCUCCUUGGCAUAUCUCGAUCAAUUUUUGGCCCAUAACACGCCCGAAUCCCAGGCCCACCCCCAAAACUGUGGGCUAUAACACAUCAAUAUUGGCCUAAAAAUACUCCAUUUACGCUGUUUUACCAAUAUAAAAACACAACACACUAAGAUGAUCCCCAACCUCCCUGGCACUCCUUGAUCGAUUUUUGACCCACAACACACCCGGACCCCUGGCCCACCGCUAAAAUCGAAGGCUAUAGCUCAUCAAUUUGGCCUAAAAAUGCCCUAUCAUGUUGUUUCACUCGUUUGGCCACCCUAAUGGCUAAUAAUAUUUAAAUGGACUAUACUAGGAUGAUCUCCAACCUCACUAGCAUGCCCUGAUUGAUUUUUGGCCCACAAAAUGCUCGAACCCUAGAACCGUGGGCUAUAAUAUACUAAUUUGGACUGAUAAUGCCCUAUUCGCGCCUUUUCAUGCAUUUUCCACCCAAAUGUCCAUGAAUAUUGAAAUGGAAAAUACUAGGAUGAUACGUAACCUCCAUGGCACGCCUUAGUAUAAUUUAGGCUCACAACAUGCCCGUACCCCAAGCCCACUCAUAAAAUAUGGGCUAUAGCACACUGAUUUUCAGCCCAAAAAUGCCCCGCUCAUGCUGUUUUGCUCAUUUACCCGCACAAAUGACCAUAAAUAUUGAAACAGACCACACUAAGAUGAUCCAGAAACUCCCUAUCAAUACCCAAUCAAUUUUAGGCCCACAGCACGCCCAAACCCUAGGCCCACCCCUGAACCAUUGGCUAUAGCACACUAAAUUUACUCGAAAAUGCCCCGUUCAUGCCGUUUUGCUCAUUUGUCCACCCAAAUGGCUAUGAAUAUUGAAACAGAUUAUACUGGGAUGAUACACAAACCUUCUAUCAUGCACCGGUGUAUUUUUGGCCUACAGCACGCUUGGAUAUCGGGUCUACCCUAAAAUCGUGGGCUAUAGCACACCGAUUUGGCUUGAUAAUGCCCUGUUUGUUUGGUUUCGAUCGUUUGUUCACCAAAAUAGACAUGAAUAUUGAAACAGACCAUACUGGGAUGAUCAACAACUCCCUAGCAUGCCUUGUUUGAUUUUUGUCACACUACAUGUCCGAACCUCAGGCCCACCCCCCAAACCAUGGGCUAUAUAAUAUUGAUUUACCCUUAAAAAUACCCAAUUCAUGUUGUUUUGCUUAUUUCUCCACCCAAAUGGCAACAAAAUUUAAAUCGAACUACACUGGAAUGAUUCCAAACCUCCAUGGUACACCGGUAGAUUUUCUUCCCACAACACUCCCUGGCCUAGGGCCCACCCUUAAACCAUGGCCUAUAGAAAUUGAUUUGGCUUAAAAAUGCUCAAGAUUAAAUAAAAAUAAAGGCCGAGAAAAAUUUAAAAAGAAAAAAAACUAAGAAUCAAAGAAAACUAUUUUUUUUUAUAAAAGUAGACAUUGAAAGGUGUAAACAAAAAAAAAGUAAGAGUUGAGAAAAACUAAAAAGAACAAAUAAAAAGAGGAAAGAAAAAAUAAAAAAUAUAUUAAAAAACAAUGUUGGAUGUCAUUGUCUGAAACAAUAUUGGAUGUCAUUGUUUAUGAAACCAGUAACUUUUGUCCACAUUAGUAGCCAUGUGGCACACAAACUAUUGGGUAACCAAAUCAAUCAUGUAAUCUAAUAAUUCAUAUCCCCUUUUUUCUCUAUUUAGAUUAACCCUCCCCCCAUAUAUGUAAACGGCUAUAAAUAGCCUGCUAGUUACGAAAAUAAUGAUCAUCAAGAUCAAAAACUAUGAACAAUUUCUCAUACUCUUCAAUUUGCUCUAUUUAAUUUGUUUUCUUUACUUUCUAUAAUUUAAUAACACGUUAUCAGCACGAGUCUCUACGAAACCCCUCCGAAGGUAAUCAAAGGUUAGUAUUUUAUUUUCUUAAAUAAUGGCUAAUAUUUCUAGACGCAAUUUUAGUGCCCUAGACAUAUCUGGCAAAAUUUACAUGUCCUGGGAACUUGACGCUAAAAUACAUCUAAAUGCAAUGGGUCUGGCAGACACCAUUAAAAAUGAUAAUAAGGCAUCUGAUCAAGAUAAGGCCAAGGCCAUGAUAUUUCUUCAUCAUCAUCUUGAUGAAGGGUUAAAAAUGGAGUACCUCACGAUCAAAAAUCCCCUCAUAUUGUGGAACAACUUAAAGGAAAGAUAUGACCACCUGAAGAUGGUCAUACUCCCACAAGUUUGUACUGAAUGGACCUAUUUGAGGUUCCAGGACUUUAAAAAUGUAACUAAAUAUAAUUCUGCGAUGUAUAGAAUUAAAUCAUAGUAUGACUUAUGCGGGAAAAAGAUCACAGAUCACGACAUGAUAGAGAAAACCCUUUCUAUUUUUCACUCCCCGAAUAUGGUCCUGCAGCUGCAGUACCGAGAAAUGAGUUUCAAAAAGUAUUCUAAGUUAAUUGGUCAUCUUCUUGUUGCUGAAUAAUAUAAUGAUCUUUUAAUAAAAUAUAAUGAAACUCGGCCUCCUGGUACUGCUCCAUUCCCAGAAGUGAAUGUUUCAAAUUUUCACCCAACUUGGAGUUAAAGAAAUCCUGACCCCAGUGAGGUCAAGGUCGUGGUCGUUGUCGUGGUCGUGGUCGUGGUCGUGGCAGGUAUUUCAAUCAAGGUAAUCAUCUUGCAAUAAACAAUAACCCUCACCACCAGAGUGCAAAAAGAGGGGUAAAGCUCCUAAAACAGCGCCAAGGACGAACCCUAAAAGUAGAUGUUAUCGAUGUGGAGGAAAGGGACACUGGAAGCGUGCCUGUCGUACGCCUAAUCAUCAGGUAAAAUAAUAUCAGGCGUCCCUUAAAAAGCCAGAAAAUGAUGCUGAAAUAAACUUCCUCCUAGAAGAUAACAUUGAGCCCAUAGACUUGGAUGUUUUAGAUUUCAUUCCUGAAGAACAAGUAAAUCACCCUGUCGGUGACAAUAAUGAUAUAAUCCGUUUAUGUUAAUUUUCUGUUAAGUUUGUAUUAAUUUAUUUUCUUUUGUUUGUUAAAGUUAAAAUUAAUUUACGUUUCUAUUAUUAAUAUUUUAAUAAUCUUAUAAAGUUUAUAUAAUAUAUUAUGAGCUAGUACCAUAGUAUAGUAUUAUGAUCACUAAGUAAUUUUGAUUUUGUAGUACGCACAUGAAAUUUUAACAGUAUGAGCUAUUUAUGUAAUGUUAUAGUACAUAAAUUAUGCUAACGUUAUGACUAGAAUUAUUUAUUGCAGUAAUGAAUAUUCAUAGAAGACAUUUUAUGAAAUUAACUUGAGUAGCCAAUAGAUCAUGUUAUUACAUACAAUAUUAAUAAUGUGUAUUUUAGAUGCAUUAGUUAGUAAUAGCAAAACUAUUAUGUAAUAGAGAUGUUAAUUGUUUAGAACGCAGCUGCAAUUAAAAUAUGGAUAUAAAAUAAAAUAAGGUGUAACAGCAUAAUAUUAUGUGCUAAUAUUUAUUUCGUUUAUAUUUUCAUUUUGAAGAAAAUAUGGCUACUCCUCAAGUCUUAAUUGGAUCAAUAAUCGAUCAUGAUGAUAUUUGUAUAAUUGAUAGUGGGACAACGCACACAAUAUUUAAAGAUGAAAAAUAUUUUUCCCACUUACUCAAAAAAAGAGCAAAUAUUACAACAAUUGCUGAAAAUUCAAAAUUGAUUGGAAGAGCUAUUAUAUUUCUGCCUAAGGGGACAAAGUUAAUUAUAGAAGAUGCACUGUUCUCUUCUAAAUCCCCAAGAAACUUAUUGACUUUUAAAGAUAUUCGCAAAAAUGGAUAUCAUGUUGAGACAAUAAAUGAAAUGAAUGUCGAAUAUGUUGGCAUUACAAAGAAUGUCUCAGGUCAAAAACAAAUGUUGGAGAAAUUACCACCUUUGUCUUCUGACUUAUACUAUGCCGAAAUUAGUACAAUUGAAGUACACUCUAUCGUAAAUUAGAAUUUUACUGAUAUAAAUACAUUUUUGCUCUGGCAUGAUCGAAUAGGCCAUCCUGAAUCAAUAAUGAUGAGAUGAAUCAUUGAAAAUUAAAAAGGGCAUCCGUUAAAGAACCUAAAAAUUCUUAGACUGGAUGAAUUUUCAUGUGCUGCUUGUUAUCAAGGCAAACUGAUAACUAGACCAUCGCCACUGAAAGUUAACGACGAAUCCCCUCAGUUUCUGGAAUGUAUACAUGGGGAUAUAUGUGGGCCCAUUCACCCACCAAGUGGGACAUUCAGAUAUUUUAUGAUCCUAAUAGACGCAUCUUCAAAAUGGUCUCAUGUGUGCCUCUUGUCAUCUCGCAACCUAGCGUUUGCAAAAUUAUUGGCACAAAUAAUACUAUUAAGGGCGCAAUUCUCAGAUUAUCCUAUUAAGGCUAUUCGCCUUGAUAAUGCUGGAGAAUUUACAUCCCAAGCUUUUGAUGAUUAUUGUAUAUCAGUUGGGAUAAAAGUUGAAUAUCUUAUUGUUCAUGUUCAUACUCAAAAUGGCCUUGCUGAGGUAUUUAUUAAGCGCCUAUAAUUGAUAGCAAGACCACUUCUUAUGAAAAUAAAAUUGUCUACUACUGUUUGGGGUCAUGCUAUCUUACAUGCAGCAUCAUUUAUUCGUCUCAGGCAAACUCAUUAUAAUAAAUACUCCCCAUUUCAAUUGAUUUUGGGCCAUGAACCAAAUAUUUUCCAUCUACGAAUUUUUGAAUGUGUUGUGUAUGUGCCAAUUACACCACCUCAGCGUACUAAGAUGGGCCCCCAGAGAAGGUUAGGAAUAUAUGUGGGGUUUUAGUCACCCUCUAUAAUUCGGUACCUUGAACCAUUGACGGGAGAUUUAUUUACUGCUCGAUUUAUAGAUUGUUGAUUUGAUGAAACAAAUUUUUCGCAAUUAAGGGGAGAAAAAUGUGAUAAAAGAGAAAUUGCAUGAAAAGUUUCAUCAUUAUCUCAUUUUGAUCCACGUACUCCCAUAUGUGAAAGUGAGAUUCGAAAGAUCAUUCACUUACAGAAAUUAGUAAAUCAAAUGUCAGAUGCAUUUACUGAUUUGAAAAGGAUAACUAAGUCACAUAUCCCUGCAGCGAAUGUGCCUGUUCGAAUUGAAGUUCUAAAAGAACCUUUUUCUAAUGCAAUAGCUUCUCAAUCCCAAACACGCCUGAAGCGUGGCAGGCCAUUGGGUUCAAAGGAUAAAAAUCCUAGAAAAAGAAGCACGAAAAAUGAUAAAUAUGGUGUUGUAAAAGAUUCUCCUGAAGAGACUCAAAAUCUGAUUAAUCCUGAUAUUCUCGAAGAAAUUAGUGAACCCGAGACUCAAAUGAAUAAAGAACUUUCAAUAAGUUCAACUAAUGAUGAGGUAAAUUUAGAUCGAUCAAAAAUUAUGGUGGAUAAUGUUUUUGCAUAUAAUGUUGCACUAAACAUCAUGCAAGACAAUGAGGACCUUGAACCUUUAUCUGUCGAAGAAUGUCGACAGAGAAAAGAUUGACCAAAAUAGAAAGAGGCGAUUCAAUUUGAAUUGAACUCGUUUACUAAAUGGGAGGUUUUCGGACCUGUAGUCAAAACCCCAAAUGAUGUAAAACUAGUUGGCUAUAAAUGGGUCUUCAUGCGUAAAAGAAAUGAGAAAAAUGAGAUUGUAAGAUACAAAGCACGCCUUGUUGCACAAGGAUUUUCUCAAAGACCCGGUAUUGACUAUGAAGAAACAUAUUCACCUGUAAUGGAUGGAAUGAUGUUUAGAUACCUCAUUGGUCUAGCUGUACAUAAAAAUCUUGAAAUCCAUUUAAUGGGUGUGGUUACAGCUUAUCUUUAUGGUUCACUUGAUAACAAUAUUUACAUGAAAAUCCCAGAAGGAUUAAAAUUGCCUGAAGAGUAUAGUUUAAAGUCUCGAGAAUUAUAUUCAAUCAGAUUGCAAAUAUUAUUGUACGGUCUAAAACAAUCAGGGCGUAUGUGGUAUAAUCACCUAAGUGAGUACUUGAAAAAUGAAGGAUACAUAAAUGAUGCUAUUUGUCCUUGUAUUUUCAUUAAGAAAACAGUGACGGGGUUUAUUAUACUCGCCGUUUAUGUGGAUGAUAUAAAUCUCAUCAGGACUCUAGAAGAGAUCCAAAAGGCAAUCGAAUAUCUAAAGAAAGAAUUCGAAAUGAAAGAUCUUGGAAAGACAAAACUUUGUCUUGGUAUGCAAAUCAAACAUUUAACAAACGGAGUAUUCAUCCACCAAACUGCCUAUACCCAGAAGGUAUUGAAAUGAUUUUACAUGGACAAUGCAUAUCCAUUAAGUACUCCAAUGGUUGUUCGAUCACUUGAAGUGAGUAAAGAUACUUUCCGACCUCUGGAAGAUGGUGAAGAGAUUUUUGGUCCCAAAGUACCAUAUCUCAGUGUUAUUGCAGCACUUAUGUACCUCGCUAAUGUUACAAGGCCAGAUAUAGCAUUUUCUGUUAAUUUACUUGCAAGAUAAAGUUCUUCGCCUACGCGAAGACACUGGAACGGAGUUAAGCAUAUAUUGAGGUACCUAAAAGGGACUAUUGAUAUGGGUCUAUUUUAUACUAACAAAGCUAGUCCAGAUCUUGUUGGUUAUGCAGAUGCAGGUUAUUUAUCUGACCCACAAAAAGCACGGUCCCAACAGGCUAUGUGUUUACAUAUGGAGGUACUACAAUAUCAUGGUGAUCGACAAAGCAGCCCAUCAUUGCUAUUUCUUCUAAUCAUGUUGAGAUAAUUGCUAUCCAUGAAGCAAGUAGAGAAUGCAUAUGGCUGAGAUCAUUGGUACAUUCCGUCAAAGAAAGAUGUGGCCUAAAGCUUGAUAUCAAGGUACCUAUAGUCAUAUUUGAAGAUAAUGCAACAUACAUAGCUCAACUAAAAGAAGGCUUUAUAAAGAGAGAUAGAACGAAGCACAUUUCACUCAAGUUAUUCUUCACACAUGACCUUCAGAAGAAUGGUGAUAUUGAUGUGCAACAGAACCGUUCCUGUGACAACCCAACAGAUUUAUUCACCAAAUCUUUACCAACUUCAAUCUUUGAGAAAAUGGUACAUAAAAUAGGUAUGAAAAGACUUAAUAAGUUGAAUCGAGGUCUUCAUCCGGGGGAGUAAGAAUACUCCCUGUACUCUUUUUUUCUUAACCAAGGUUUUUAUCCCACUGAAUUUUUUCCUGAUAAGAUUUUUAAUGAGACAGCACUCAAACGCGUAUUCAGUAUUUUUUCCCAAUACAUAGACAUCCAAAGGGGGAGUAUUAAGAAACAAUGUUGGAUGUCAUUGUCUGAAAUAAUACUGGAUGUCAUUGUCUAUGAAACCAAUAACUUUUGUCCACAUUAGUAGCCAUGUGGCACACAAACUAUUGGGUAACCAAAUCAAUCAUGUAAUCUAAUAAUUCAUAUCCCCAUUUACUCUAUUUAGAUUAAACCCCCCAUAUAGCCUGCUAGUUACGAAAAGAAUGAUCAUCAAGAUCUAAAACUAAGAACAAUUUCUCAUACUCUCCAAUAAUAUAAAAUUUUAAAAAAAAAAGUUGAAAGGAAAAAAAAGUAAGAAUUGUGUCUGUGCACUAACAAAAUCCCGAAUAUAUUAGUUAUUGACUAAGAAUUUAAGUUUGAUGCACGGUCAGUGUAUUUUUUCUACUCUAUCAAAUAACUUUUACCUGCUGUAGCAGGUCAUCUAUUUUCUGGUAAUAAUAUAAAAAUGAACGACCUACUACAACACGUACGUAAAAAUCACGUGAUGGUGUAAAAAAAAUACACCGACGAUGCACCAAACUUAAACUCAUUGACUUAAUCAUAUAGAAUCAAAAUGUACACAGUACUAGUCUUACUAGUACUUUCUGUGGCCCACGUACUUUAGUAUGACCUCUUUGGGUUAGUCUAUUUGCUUGUGAUGUCACUAAUACAAGCCACUAAAAUAUAAAACCAAAAGAAAGUUCGGGUCUUUCAAAGUGCAAAAAAUGCAUAAGAAUAAAGCUGAAGGAGAUUUCAGUAGUCUCUAAGGCCAGUAGCAGCUACCUCGAAUCUCCAAUGAUGCUAGCAACGAAGGAACCACAGGUACUAAAGAAGUAUCGUAGAUCAAUCCUAAUUCAAAGUGGUGACGAGUGACACCACAUAAAACAUUUAAACACAAACACACAACCUGUUGUCAUGACCCGAUUUCACAAGUUGUGAUGGUGCCUACUUUAAGCCACUAGUAGGCAAGCCAAGCUAUAGUCCAGAAUGAUAGAUAACAGGACUAACAAGCAGAGACCAAAUAAAAAAUCAUGUAUAAAGAUAAUAACAACAAUAAUAAGUGAAAACUAAGAAGGGAGCAUAUAUAUAGUAUAUCAAAACGAGAAGAGGAAAAAAGGACCAACUAUACAAUGAAUCUCUCCCAAGACCUGGUAAGGUCAGUACUAGAGCCACAACUAACAGAUACCCAGAGUACUAGACAAGAAUAUAAAAUGUCCACAAUAUACACAAUUAGUCUCGAGUACAAAAGACUAAUUAGAGUAGAUAAAGAAGGAUCAGCCUCGGACGACAGCAAGCUCACCCUUCUCUGAAUCAGUACUGAAAGGUAGGAAUCACAUUAACGUCGACUGCUAAUGCUCGAAUCUGUAUUAGGAAAAAAAUGCAAAAAUAUAGUAUGAGUAACAAAAACCACGGGUACUCAGUAGGCAUCAUCGGUCGACUGAGCUCAUUACAAAAAAAGUAUAACUAUAAUGCGAGGGCAUAAUCUGGUCAUCAGUUAAUAGGGAUGGAAAGGUAAACAACUACAAGCUACGCAACAACUAUAAGGAAAUAAACGUAAGCAAUACAGAAAAUGAAUAAUGCAGUAAUAACAAAUAAAUCAAACAUAACCUAAUUGGGCCCCCAUAAGCCCCCUAGGCACACUGAAGAAGACAAUUAACCCAACUGUACCCACCAUAAGCCGGUGGGACACACAAGAAGUAAUGAAAAUAUACAUAAAUAAUCUUUAACUCAGCUGAAUCCAAUAAAUCAUAAUAGUCAUCUAGAUGUGCACCGAACUUGAACCAGCACCAAUGGGUAGUAAUGAGAGUUCAGAUAUAUAGAACUCAUAAUCAGAUGUCGGACUCGAACCAAAACUCAUCGUAACCAUAACAAUCAGAUGUCAGACUCGAACCGAAACUUAUAAUAACCAUAAUAAUCAUCAGAUGCUGGACUCGAAACAGAACUCAUUGUAAUCAUACCCAUCGAUAAUAUUAAAAUUCACAUCAUAUCAUAACGAUGUCAACAUCUAAAUAAUCAUCCAUCAAUCUUAAUUAAAAAGGAAUAAAUUCAAGGUUUUGCAAUUUAAUUUCACGUUCUAAAGUAAUAGAUGUUAUAUUAUAUUAAAAGAUAAUUUUUUAAAAAUUUACUAGAAUGGGAUCCUAAUCCGGAUCAAUAACGUAUCUACAAAUAUUUAUCCAAAGCUAGUAUAGUAGUUUACAUUUUCAGUAAUUAAGCUCAAUCUAAAGAUAGGGUAAACCUAACCUAUCUGGACGUCAUAGCUAUAAUAUCUUUCCGCAAAGCCUCCAAAUAAUAAUCCACUAAAGCUGAGCUUGAAUCCUUUGUAGCUAAUGAAACCUCAGAAUCGGAAACAGCCUCAACAAUAAUAGACUCCUUUGUGAUUAUAAAAAUGAUAAUCACACGAUCAAAUUUGCUAAUUAUAUUCCAAGAUCUUUCAUAAUUUAUAUUUUGUCAAGUUGAAUUUGUGAGGGUUUACACCAAAAGUCGGUGGCAGUGAAAUCAACGUCAUCAUAAUUAUAAAUAAAUAAUAAAGUUAUUUCUAAUACAAUAAAUAUUCAAAGUGAAUUAAGGUAGAAGAAGAAGAAGACAGAUGAAUAAGAAAUAGCAAAGAGGAAGGAAAGGAAAGAAACAUAAAUGUUAAAAGGAAUCAGUAAAUGAAUACAUACAUUCUCUUACCAUUUAAAUAUUAAAAAAAGUUGUCCGUCAUUAAUUUUACUAGAAAACAAGUGGCAGCACCAAUUGUGGUCCAUCAUUCCAAUUCCAACGUGUGGUAGUGGUGGCCACACCAAUUAAUUUUCUAUACUGCGUAUAUAAUUGAGUAUUGUAUAAAUUUGUGGUAAAAUAAUUUUAAUAUUUUGAAUAUAUCAUAAUUAAUAUAAAAUUAUUUCUAUCAAAACCACUAUUAUAUAAUAAUAAUAUUUUAACAAUUUUAAAUUUGCUAUCUCCGCUUAAAAUAUUAAUAGAUCAUAAAAGUUUAUUAUAAAGUGAUAUAAAUAUAUCAUCACUUAAAGAAUUUUACCAAUACCAAAAAUAUUCUAGAAGGGUACUAAAUUAUAUUUCUACCAAAUACCAAAUUAAAUUAAAUAAUCCAUGAUAUAUUUAGAUAGUACUAAAAUUAUAUAAAAAUACAGGAAAAUGACCGUAAGGGUCAUUACAACAUUCCCUACUAAAAGGACUUUCGUCCGCGAAAGUAAAAGAUAAGGAAAAUACCUGAAGGGUCAAAUAGGUAGGGAUACUGUGCGCGCAUAUCACGCCUGGGAAGAAGGCCUGGUAAGUCAGACAAAACCACCUCGAGAAACUCACAAACUAAAGGGACGGAUUCUAGCGAUAGACUCUCAUCACUAACAUCUCAAAAAUAUGCAAGAAAUGACUUACAACCCCUCGAUAUCAUUCUCCUAGCAUGAAUAUACGAAAUAAUCACCAUCGGUGUGCGGCUAACAGAAUCCUACCACACAACUGGGGGUAUACCAUGCAAAGCUAAAGUAACGGUCUUAGAAAAAUAACCCAAGACAGCAUGGUAAGGAGAUAUCUAAUCCAUGCUUAGAAUCACAUCAAAAUCUACCAUAUCUGGGACAAUGAGGUUAAUAUGAGUAUCAAACUCGCCAAACACAAUGUAUAAAUCGAUCCACUAUUAAAGAAUCACCCACAGGGAUAGCCAUAUGCAAUGUCACAGAUAAAGACUCCGAACAUGAACCCAACCGUGAUGCAAAAUAAAUAAAAACAUAUGAAAAAGGUGAAAUCGAGGUCAAAUAAAGCAAAAACUGUCUGGUGGCAUACAACAACCUUACCUGUGAUCAAAGCAUCUGAAGUCUCAGCCCUUGAUCUACCUGGUACAGCAUGGUUUACAGUUUCUCACAUUAUUGUAUUGUUCCUCAACGUAAUUACAAAAGGGAGAACAAAGCUAUUCAUCUACUCUGUCCUAUAAAUCUGGAGUAUGCCAGAAUAUCAUUAGAAACAUAUAUCAUGUUUGUGAACUAGAAACUUGCAUCUUAUAAAUUUGUGAAUAGGUUGAAUCAACAAAUACUAAUAGAGUUUCCUCAAACCCAGCUUAAGAAAGUUAUAAAAAGUAAAACCUUUUCACAUUUAAACCUAUAACAUUAGGUGAAAGAACGUAAUUACAACCAUUAUAAACAUCUAUUAAUGGUAUUAUGAGAAAAUUUUAAAGAAUGAUAGCAAACAUUCACAUGUGCCUCCCCAGUCUAAGGUAUAUCCAUUGGCGGGGAUAGGGUGAAAGGAUUUAGACAUAAACCUUUUUUCUCAUUUCAUAUUUCAACAUUCAGAUUUUAUCAACGUCAUCUUUAAUUCAAAGAGAGCCAAACGUCCCCAAAAGUAUGGCAUGUAUUUAGAAAAAAAACAAGCAAUGCAGAUAUACGAAGAUAGUUGCUAGCACUAACUGAACUAGACAUAUCUGUUUGAAAACAAGCAAAUAAUGGAUGAACAAUCUUUAUUAAACAACUCCAUUUAUAUUCUCAAAAUUACUGAAAGGCCUAACAACUCAAGACAAUCUCUACUUUCAUGAUACUUUUCAUGCUUUCUCCUAAGAAAAUACGAAAUAUAGAGCAACUCAAAUGUCUACUCAAGAAGCAUACAGGUCAGACCCCUAAUCCACAGCUCAAGAAAUUGCCAUUUGCAUCAAAACCUUGCAUUUUCCUUUAUUCAAUUUUUGUUGAUUAAUGAAUGAAAAUCUGAUGUCAAAUUAUCUAGUAAUGGCAGGUUGAUUUGCACUUCUUUUUAUUCCAUGUAUUUCAAUGUACAUAUGCGAGCACCCAUCUGCUCCAGACUAGUGGACAUCUUUUCCCAGUGUGCUAGUAUUGUUGUGGAAGCUCCUCGAGGAUUUCACUAGGCGAACAUAAACUGAAUUGGACGCUACCAUCUUAAAAGAUUAAAAAAAAUGUUCGCACAAAUAAGAAGAUCUUUUAUUGUGUAUUAGGAAGACCCCUAGGGCCUAGGUGAAGUUUAAGCAAAAUGAAAAAUCUGAACCAAUGAAGACCAAAAAGUAAGAACAACAAUAAGGUAAUCACACUUCUUAAGAACAACAAUAAGGUAAUCACACUUCUUGCUUUAGUUACUUCAUUUCAAAAAUUACUACUACAUGUUGAGGAUUAAUUUAAAUAACCAAAUAGGUAAACAUCAACAAAUUUCAACAACAUACCCGGUGUAUUCCCACAAGAGAGUCUAGACUCCAGGGAUAGUAGUGUGCAUUUAGACACUACCCCUACGUUGGGAGGUAGAGAGGUUGGUGCCAUAGACCCUUGGCUAGAAAUUAACAAAUAGAUCUCCUCCGAAAAACAAGUAUUAACUAAAAUUGGAGUCUUUUUUUCCAUCAUAUGGCACAAAUUUAGCACAUUCAGCAACUAAUAUAGACGGACUGACCCCUUUCAAAUAUUUGAAGUGAGGCCUGAACUGGUCGACUAGGCUGACCCUGAUGCUGAGAAGGUUGCUGAUGAGGGUACCUACCAUGAAAUCCUCGGCCUGAGAACUGUGAACCAUUGUAACUGCCCUGGUAGCGUGGUCUCUUAUCGCUGCCCCCUUGGUCCUCACAAUCCAACUCCUCUAUGGAAUAAACAUGUUCGACUAUCUCCAAAAAAAACUUCUUCAAAGUCACCAAACUCUGUGUAGCCCUACGGAGUGACAAUCUCAAUCCCCCGACAAAGCAUCGAAUCCGCUCGUACUUUGUAUCCAGAUUCAUAAUGGCGUGUCUGGCUAACUCAUGUAUUCUCGCCUCAUACUCAGCUACAGUUAUAAAACCCUGUCUCAAUGCGGUAAACCCAUCUCAUAGAACCUCACGUAUGCUACGAGGCAUAUACUUCCCCAAGAAAUCCUCAGAGAACUGAGUCCAAGUCACUGGUGGAGAUCCCGCUGGCCUGGAAUUAAGAUAACCUCUCUACCACCUCCUCGCUAUCGUAUCGAACAGAUAAGAAAUAAUGUCUACUCCUCGCACCUCAACUAUCCCUAAAUUUCGUAACCGCUCCUCGCAAUUGGACAGGAACUUAUGAGCAUCCUCUCCCGAGGUCCUGGAAAACCUGGGUGGAGUUAAUCUAAAAAAUCGAUCCAAUAUCUUUUGCUCCUCUAAAGACAUAAGUGGCUAGGCUACUGUCGGUUGUGGGACUACUGGUGCUAGCGGAAUUAAGAAACAAUAUCUACUCCUCGCGCCUCAACUAUCCCUAAAUUCUGCAACCGCUCCUCGCAAUUGGACAGGAACUUAUGAGCAUCCUCUCCCGAGGUCCUGGAAAACCUGGGUGCAGUCAAUCUCAAAAAUCGAUCCAAUAUCUUUUGCUCCUCUGAAGACAUAAGUGGCUGGGCUACUGUCAGUUGUGGGACUACUGGUGCUAGCGGAAUUCUACCCUAGCUGUGCCACUAAAUCAACACCACCCUGUGUGGUUGGCUGAGCUUCCACGGCCGGUGGACCGCCAGCUAAUUGCAAUAACUAUACUAAUGUAUCCCAAAGAAUUGACGAAGAUAUAAAGCUGGGUGGAUCCUGGGCUGCCCCCUGGCCCACCUGCUGAUGUGGAGGAAUACCUGGAGCUCUCUCAAUCCUCGGAGCUAUAACAAGAUCAGGUGAUAGAUCCCUAGCCUAAUCUCAAAUAGGGGCUGCUGCUCUCAAACCUCGUGUCCUAGCCAUCUGCUAGAAAGUGAACCAAUGAAAAAAAAUUACGACCAACCCAGACUCAACGCACAAAAAUGAGAUUUUUCCCUAAAAGUGCUUUGUAGCCACCCAAGGAUAGAGUAAAUACGUCUCCGUACCAAUUUUAGCGAAAUAUAAAACCAAAAGAAAGUUCGGGUCUUUCAAAAUGCAAAAAAUGCAUAAGAAUAAAGCUGAAGGAGAUUUCAGUAGUCUCUAGGCCAGUAGCAGCUACCUCAAAUCUUCAAUGAUGCUAGCAACGAAGGAACCACAGGAACAAUAUCCAGAGUUCGUCAGAUUUAUACUUGCAUGUAGGGUGCAGAAAAAGCAAGAGUGAGUAUGGAACCACAUGUACUCAGCAAGCUUCGUAGAACAACCCUAAUUCAAAGUGGUGACGAGUGACACUACAUAAAAUAUUUAAACACAAAACACAUAACCUGCUGUCAUGACCCGAUUUCUAAAGCCGUGAUGGCGCCUACUUUAAGCCACCAGCAGGCAAGCCAGGCCAUAGUCCAGAAUGAUAGAAAAUGGGACUAACAGGUAGAGACCAAAUAAAAGAUCAUGUAUAAAGAUAAUAACAACAAUAAUAAG